GAUACGGUUUAAAAUUUGUUGAAAUCAUAGCUAAGUGUUUUUUAUUUUUAGUACUACUUUUAAAAAUGAUUAAAUACAAAAUUAGAUAGUAGUUUGUGACCUUUGUCAUUUACAAACAUGUAUUAGAAGUGUUGGGUGAUGAAAAGGAACUGAUUUAUAAAAUUGAAUGACACUUGGCACAAAAAAGUUGCUCAUUGUCCCCAGGAGAAAGUUAUUCAAAACCAGUGUAAGUUUGUAAGCAAGUUUAUUUUAGUAAAUUUAGAAAAUCUUAAAAUUGUUAUGCAAUUUUACUUCUACGUUGGUUAUAAUACAGGUAGAAUUUUUUUUGGGAGAAAUAUUUAGCUGUGUGAGACCAUUAAAAUCUAGCUUUUCUUCUUUGAGGUUCAACUUAAGCUUUAAGUACUUUUAAAAAGUUAACAUGUUGCAGGCCAAUUUCCUAGACUAAUUAACUUUGAAAAAGUUUCAAAAAUGUGUUUUAAACCAUCAUUUCCUUUUUAUUUGUUUUCCAAUAUUAUAUCUGUCACUUAAAGAGUUUAAGAGGGGUGGGCAUUUGGUCUGGUAGUUAAGAUUCGCACAUGGCAUAGUGGAGUGCCUGUAUUCUAAUCACAGCUGCUCAGCCCCUCAUCCAGCUUUCUGCUUACGUGCAUUGUGGGAGACUGCAGAUGAUGGUUCAAGUACUUGGAUCCCUGCAGGCUUCAGCCUGGUCCAGGACUGGUUAUUUUGGCCAUUUGGGCGAGUGAACUGUAGGAUGGAAGAUCCAUCACCUUUUGCCCUUGUUUUGCUGCCUUUCAAAUGAAGUGAAAAUAACCUUUAAAAAAUUAAAAAAGGUUAAUGGGGCCUGUGCUGUGGCAUCAUGGGUAAAGCCAGCUGCUGCCUGUGUUGCAGGCAUUCCAUAUGGGCGCUGGUUUGCGUCCUGGCUGCUCCACUUCUGAUCCAGCUCUCUGCUUUGGCCUGGGAAAGCAGUAGAAGAUGGCCCAAGUCCUUGGGCCCCUGCACCUGUGUGGGAGACCCAUAAGAAACUCCUGGCUCCUAGCUUCAGUUUGGCCCAGCUCUGGUCGUUGCAGCCAUUUGGAGAGUGAACCAGCGGAUGAAAGACCCCCUCCCUCCCCAUGACUAUGACUCUCUGCCUUUUAAAUUAAAUAAAUAACUCUUUAAAAUAUUAAAAAGUUAAAUACUUGUUGAGUAUUUGAGAAUGCCACGGUUGUACAGAGCAUCCUCCUUUAUUGAUGUCAAGAAAAUAUGACAUGGUUUCAAAUUCCAGGUAGUAAAUUUUUAUAGAGUUUUAGGACUUAAUAAUGCCUAUAAAGUUUUUUAGUCUGCAUAUUACCUAUCUGUUGAGUCAGAUUAUACAUGAAAAUACUACCUUAAUUUCUUAUCUAUGUAGGUGAAUUAGUGAUGGCUUCUAUUUUGUGGUUAUUUGUCUUUGUCUUACGUUUUUCUAGAGUAUGUCAUGACUUAUCUUGAAAAAGCUGAGAUCACUUUUAUCCACUUUAUUGACCUUUCUACAUAAACCCAGGUGUCAAGGAAAAAGCCUGUGUGUAAGGGUGAAGGUGAUGGGAGAGGGCAUAUUAGUGUUUGGCUUCCCAGCCCUGUGAGUUGCAGAUUUUAAGGUAAUAGGCAAGAUUGCUUUGGCAUUGGGAAAACUGACUUAUAUUACCCAGUUUCCCAUUUGUUUGAUUGGGCAGAUUUUUGUCUAGUGUAGAGGCUAAAUAUUUAAAUCAGAGAAAUACUUGUUUCUUGAGGUUUAUCAUCAAGACUUUUUAAGGAUAUUUAUGGUUGCAGAAAAUAAAAUACUUUUUUUAAAGAUUGAUUUGAAAGGCAGAGUUGUUGGGGUGGGGGGAGAUGGGAGAUACCUUCCAUUCUCUGGUUCACUCUCCAAAUGGCUGCAAGGGCAGGGGGCUGUGCCAGGCAGAAGCCAGAAGCCUGGAACUUAAUCUGGGUCUCCAAUGUGGCUAGCAGGGGCUCACAAACUUGGGGGCAUCUUUGCUGCUUUCCCAGGCACAUUAGCCAGAAGCUGGUGGUGCUCACAUGGGAGGCGGCAUCUUAAGUGGCGGCUUAACCAUGACACCACAACACUAGCCCCAACGAUAAAAUACUUUUGUGUGAUGUAAUAUUUUGUGUUCCUGUUUUAUAGUGGAACUCCCUUCCACUAGGAACUCUGAAGCUGCUCUGUAUAAUACUGCUUUUUUGUAUUAUAUAUUUUUCUUCUGAUGUUUGUUUUAUUUGAGAGGCAGAGAAAGAUGGAGAUAGGGUGAGAUUGGAGGGGUAUCUUCAAAUACAAAGCCAAUGCUUGGCCAGCCUGAAACCAGGAGCCCAGAACUCCCUGGGGUCUUCCACAUGGAUGGCAGGGACCAAAUAGCAGGAAGCUGGGAACAAAGUUGAGGCUGGCCUCACAUCCAGGCACUGUGAUCUGGGAUGGGAUAUGGGCAUUCUAAGGUAGCGUCUUAACCACGGUGCCAAAUGCUAGCCCCCAGGAUCCCUUCCCUGCUGCUUCUUCAUUUUGAUGAACUUUAGGGAAAAGAGCUUUUGUUUGGGUCUCAGUUUUCAUAGAUGACAUGUUGUAGUACUCUGAAGUGUUCUUUGCUAAAACUGAAACAGAAAAACAGUAGAACUGUAGAUUUCAAGGUUGAACUUACAUGGAGAGGUUCUAAGGAGCCAUUUUACUUUUAAGAAACAGACUGUUUUGUUGGUUCAGUUAGGGAAUCCUGUGUGUAGCUAAGUUGCUACCCAAAACAGGUAUUAAUUCUGUAUAGGACUUUUUACUGGAUAUUAUGGGAGAUAGUGGACAAAAAUGCUUCCCACUUCAUCCUGCAUAUUACUGUUAUGAUUUCUAAUUCCAAGUUGUGGGUUUUGGCACAACUCCUAGCAAAAAAUGUCUGUGAAGAGUUAAUUUCUUACCCUACCUGUUACAUUAUUUUUAAUUAUUUUUAUUUGAAAAAGUUGCAGAGAGUGGGAGAGACAAGAGAAAGAGAGAUCUUCUGUCUGUCCUCUGGUUUACUCUCCAGAUGGCUGCAAUGACUGGGACUGGGCCAGGCAGAAGGCAGGGAGCCAGGAGCUGCUUCUGGGUCUCCCACAAGAGUAAUAAGGGCCCCAAAUACUUAGGCCAUCCCCAACUGCUUUUCCUAGUACGUUAGCAGGGAGCUGGACCUGAAGUGGAGCAGGGGGGACACAAAUCAGCACUGAUACGGGAUGCCAGAGUUGCAGGCACACUGCUGUGUCACAGUGCUGGCCUCUGUUGUGUUAUAUUUGGCUGGGUAACAAAUUUCCCCAAUAUUUGACAAACUUAGGCCUCAAUGUUCGUGAAGUUUUAGUGAAGAUGUUGGCUGUUGCCACAGUCACGUGAAGGCUUGAUGGAAAUGGGAGGUGCUGUUCCAGGAUGGCUCAUUUAUGUAGAUCUGGGCAGGAGGCCUCAGUUGUCUCCUCAGUUGUCUUUGUAGAGCUGUGUGUGUGUGUGUGUGUGUGUGUAUGUGUGUGUGUGUUUCCUCAUGGUAUGGCAGCUAGCUUCCCCCAGAGAAGGUGAUCCGAGAGAGAGCAGGGAGGAGGAAGCCACACUGUCCGCUUACCGCCUAAAUAUACCUAGGUUUUCCCUUUCAUAGAUUUUUACUUCACAGAUAAAUGAUUCCUAUUUUUCCUCUAAGUCAUAUUCUCUGAUACACCAGCAUUACUUCAAAUUUUUGUUGCCUGAGACAACCCUUUCACAUUGCCACAAUGAAUGCUUUCAUGGCCUUCUUAAAGUUGGUUUUAAUUUCUUUGUCAUUUUAAUUCUCAUGUUCUUUCCCCUUCUCCCUUUUGGCUCUGUUCUAUGGACGGAGGGUUAUAGAAAGUAUUGUAGUACAAAGAGCUAGUAAUCUGGAGUCAAAGGAUACAGUUCAGAUCUACCUGUACUAUGAUUUUUUAAGACAAGAUUUACUUAUUUGAAUGAUGGGGAUGGGAGAGGAGAGAGAUUGAAAGAUCUCCCAUCUGCCUUUUCAUGUUCCAAAUGCUCUUAACAGCUAGAGUUGGGUUAGGCUAAAACUGGGACCCCAGAACUCUCCCACGUGGGUAGAAGGAACCCACUCCGAGUCAUUACUGCUGUCUCCCAAAGUCUGCAUUAGCAGGAAGCUAGGAGAACCCAGGCACUCUGAUGUAGGACAUAGGCAUCUUUAUCACUAGGCUAAAAGUUCUUUUUAGUAACAGAAUGUAUGUAGGUAAAGUUAUCAGUUAUUAAUAAAAAAAAAAACUUUGGAAUAUAUUUUCCAGUAAUGAUAAAGAAUUUACAGUGAUCUAGCCACAUGUUCAUUUUUUAAAAGAUUUUAUUUGAGAGGUAGAGUUACAGACAGAGAGGGAGAGACAGACAGAGAGGUCUUCCCUCCAUUGGUUCACUCCCCAAAUGGCCGCAAUGACUGGAGCUGUGGUGAUCUGAAGUCAGGAGCCAGGUGCUUAUUCCUGGUCUCUCAUGUGGUUGCAGGGGCCCAAGGACUUGGGCCAUCUUCUGCUUUCCCAGUCCAUAGCAGAGAGCAGGAUUGGAAGAAGAGCAGCCGGGACUCGAACCAGCGCCCAUAUGGGAUGCCGGUGCCAGGGGUGGAGGAUUAACUGACUGUGCCAUGGAGCCACCCCCAGCCACAUGUUCAUUUUUAUGAGUGUAUUUGUAAAAUAAUUCUGUUGGCCUUAGAACUAAAUGGGCAGUUUGAGGCAUGGACAGGUGUGAUGUUUGUAUGUUUAAGAAAAAUUAAUGGUUAGUAUGGUGCCCUAUUUAGUGAUAGGAAAGAAAUGAGGUGGUACCUCCCCAGAUACUUAGUUUUUAAUGAGAAGUCUAAAGUAAUAAUUGCCUUAUUUUCUGUCUUUUUUGUUUCCUGUAACUUGUGACACAGAUUAUUAAAGUUAGAACUGGAGAGUAUUGUAUAGUCAGUGACUAAAGAUUGGGUGGAAGAGAGCGGGAACUGCAUUUUAGUGUUAGGUGAAUGGUGAAGAGAGAAUUCUAGAAAGCCUGAUUGAAAUAUAUAGACAAGAAUGAGCUAAGCAUGUUGAGGGGACUUCUUACCUAGGUCUGAGGAUUCACACUAGAACUGGGAAGUAGGAAUUGAUGGCUAAAGUGGGUCCUUUUUGCUGACACAGUUGUACACAUCUCUUUCAACACAGGCUUUUGCAUCACACUCUUUGCAUCUCCUGAACUCCUGUGUAAAGUGUUUUCUGGGACACUCUGCUCCUGGUUGAUAAACAUACUGCUGGUACUCCAAGUUCUUUGUCCUUAAUACCAUUUGAGUAAUUGUCUUCUGCUAGAUUUUGUAUUGUCUGAGAAUGGGAGCCUUGUCUGUCUUGAUUGGUGUUCUCUUUGUAGUACCUGCACAGUAGUACCUGGCAUACAUUUAUGGUUUUCUUAAAUGUGUUUUGGAUGAAUGAUGGAACUCACAUAUUGCAGGAAGAUUAUUAUGUAGUAAAGUUAGAGAAGAAAAGUUUGGGAACUGAAGACUAGUUAGAUAAUAGGAGUAGCACAGGUGUGAACUGAAGUGAUUCAAGCUGGAGUAGAGUGUGGGGGAGGGGAGGGAGAGUUUUAAUGCUUGGUGCUAUGGUUUGGACAUCACUGCAGAUGUUUAGUCCCUGAAGCUGUAAGUUGAGGGUAUGGAAGAGACUUGAUCCAAUUAUGGCAUUUAGGAGUUGGGCCUACUGGAAAGACCUUAUGUCAUUGAGGUCAUGCUCUGGGAAGGUAAUCUCAAGGAGGCUUAAUUAUGUAAGCCUGAGCUGGGCCUACCUGCUCUCUUUGAUUGCCAUGUGAUCCUUUGGGUGAGUUCCACCAUCCUGCCUUUGUCAGAUAUGAGACCAACGGAGCCAUCCUGUCUUGGACUAUGAACCUACAUAACUGUAAGCUGAAAUAAACCUCCUUCAUAUAUAGAUGCUCUCCAGUAUUUGUUACAGUGACCAAAAAACUCAUAUCCUUGGAAGCCAAAUCAAAGGAAAGUGAAAGCCCUUCUCUUGGAGCUGUAUGUGAAACCUUGAUAUUAUUUCUGAAUACAGUUUUUUUUUUCCUUGAGGAUUUCAAUGGAACAUUAGUUUGCUUUUUUUUUCUAGAUACAACCAUCAUUAAAAUACCUAAAUUAAAGAACAUUGAGUAAUGACAGCAUGAGCUUUUGGGACAGAAAGCCUUAGGUUACUAUAAUUUAGCUUUUCAGAAGUUGCUUUCUUAACUGUAAAAGAGGAGCAGAGUUUCAGUGUUAGGAAUAAGGGCUGGCCUGUAUGAAGGGCCAAGGGCUAUAUUUAAUUCAGAGUUCUUUAUUCUCCUAUUUCUCAUUCUCUACACAUUUCUCAUGUAUGGGGUCGUGGUGGAAAGAGUAUUCUCAUGACAAUAAAUGAUCAAUACUGUAGUCAAACUGCCUGCAAGAACUUUGGCAAAUCAUUUAAUUUUCCUGGAACUCAGAUUGAUUCUUUUUCUUAAAAAUGGGGAGUUUUGACACAAAAAUACAAAGUAAUUUGGAGUUCACAUGUGAAGAUUCUGCUGUAAACUUGGCAAGUCCUCCCAGUACUAAGUCAAGUAGAUAAUGUAUUCUGUCCUUUGGACAAAGCCAAGAUAUUGAUCACUGCAGCCUUGCUCCAUCUAGGAUAGCAAGGACACUUUAGAUUGAGUUCUUGUAGGUUCAAAAAUCACCAUAUUUCUCUUUCAUAUAUAUGAGAUUGUUUUGAAAUACAUGUUUGUUCUGUCUCCUCCAGGCUAUAAUAUUUUUAAAAUUAAAGAUCCUGUCUUAUUUAUUCUUGGAUUGCCAGAACUUCCUAUCACACUCAUCUAAUGCACUGUCUGUACUCAGUAACUCAAGAGUUGGUUGGAUUGAACUGAAUGUGGAAGUACCCAAUGUGUUUUUCUUUUUUUGUCAGUGUUAGCGUGGCUACAGGAAACGAAGAGAGCCAUUCUUAUAUUAAGUACCUCAUCAUAAGCAGUACUAUAAUGGAUGUAGACAGCACAAUUUCCAGUGGGCGUUCAACUCCAGCAAUGAUGAAUGGACAAGGAAGCACUACUUCUUCAAGCAAAAAUAUUGCCUAUAAUUGUUGUUGGGACCAGUGCCAGGCUUGCUUCAACUCUAGCCCAGAUCUGGCAGAUCACAUCCGUUCCAUACAUGUAGAUGGUCAGCGAGGAGGGGUAUUUGUUUGCUUAUGGAAAGGUUGCAAAGUAUAUAACACUCCAUCAACCAGUCAAAGUUGGCUACAGAGGCACAUGCUGACGCACAGUGGAGACAAACCUUUCAAGUGUGUUGUUGGCGGCUGCAAUGCCAGCUUUGCUUCUCAGGGAGGGCUAGCUCGCCAUGUACCCACACACUUCAGUCAGCAGAACUCCUCCAAAGUUUCUAGCCAGCCAAAGGCCAAAGAAGAAUCUCCUUCUAAAGCUGGAAUGAACAAAAGGAGGAAAUUAAAGAACAAAAGACGACGUUCAUUACCGCGACCACAUGAUUUCUUCGAUGCACAAACACUGGAUGCGAUAAGACAUCGAGCCAUUUGCUUUAACCUCUCAGCUCAUAUAGAAAGUUUAGGGAAAGGCCACAGUGUUGUUUUUCAUAGUACUGUAAUAGCUAAGAGAAAAGAGGAUUCUGGAAAGAUAAAACUUUUGCUUCAUUGGAUGCCUGAAGACAUUCUGCCAGAUGUCUGGGUGAAUGAAAGUGAACGACAUCAGUUAAAAACUAAAGUAGUUCAUUUAUCAAAGCUACCCAAAGAUACUGCCUUGCUUUUGGACCCAAACAUAUACAGAACAAUGCCGCAGAAGAGGUUGAAGAGAUUUAUUAUUUGCUUGAAAAUCAGAGUUACACAGAGGAGAAGCAGAGAGAGAGAGUUCUUCUAUCGGCUGGUUCACUCCCUAAUUGGUCGCAAGGGUUGGAGCUGCGCACAUCAGGAGGCAGGGAGCUUCUUCCUUGUCAGGGGCUGCUUCUGGUCUCCCACACGGGUGCAGGGGCCCAGGGACCUGGGCCAUCUUCCACUGAUUUCCCAGGCCAUAGCAGAGAGCUGGAUCGGAAUUGGAGCUGCGAAGAUUUGAACUGGCGCCCAUAUGGGACAACGGCACUGCAAGCGUUGACUUUUUUACCAGCUGCGCCACAGCGCCGGCCCCUUUUUAAUUCUUAAGGAAUCUUUUGACUUGUUAGGACAUUUUGCAGUUUUAACACUGCAGUUUUUAAUAAGUGCCAAGUUUUCAUAUUUAAUUAAAGGUUAGAGUAUUUUUUCAUCUCUAGUUAUUAUGAAUACCAAGAUGCCUUAAAAAUGUAGUCAUGAAAUACUAUAUUCAAAUUUUUUAUCUUCAAAAUUUGAAAAAAUUACCAAGCUUUAUUAAUUCCCGAGUCAUGUUGCAUGUGGUUCUGCUUAUCUGAAAAUCAGAACGGACUUGCUUUCAAUGGGUUUUGCCAGGAAUUCCCAUGCAGAUUUUUUACAAUAAGUUAUUUUGAAGAAUUGUAGCAAGAAAACAUGAAAAAGGUUAUAAUGUUCUGUAUAAAGGGAACUUGGCUUCAGUUUGUCUAAAGAGUCUCAGUGUAAAGAGUGUAUCACUGUUACACAUAGUUCAUAUAUUAAGUUAUAAUCAUUUUGGUUAAUUUCACUAAAAAUACUUUUAUUGGGUGGAACCUGUCUCUAAAUAAAAAAACCUUGAUUAUAUUUGUUAUACAUAAUAGUUUAAAAUAACACUCUUUGGAGAAAGUACAGAGUAUUUGGUUUUUUUAUUUGAAUGUUUUGAUCUCAGAGACUGGCCACUGCCUACCUACCCUGACUUUCUUCAAUACUUGUAUGCUUUGGUUAUGGAAAACCUACAUUUUAAAAAACCUUAAAAAUUUGAUAUGAAGCUUGCCAUAUUUAUAUGUUUCUGUUAAAACUGCUUCAAACAUAUUCUGUAUUUGGGUCGCUGAAAAGUCUUCUGUUUGUCUAAAAUUUAUUACAUUUGGGAGAUUUUUUAGAAAAGCAUUGGGUUUUCUGAGGGAGAUUCCAUAGCUAGGAAAUGACAGUCAAAGGAUACUCUAAAGAGUUCCUUGUGAAAUGCAAUUAAAAUGUAAAUUUACUUUGGUGUAAAGAAAUUUGCAAUCCAAGCAUAGUCUAUUAAAAGACACUUUAUGCAAAGUUCUGAAAACCCCACGCGGGCUGUGAAACAGAAGUUCACCUCUGCUAAGUGGGCUCAAUGGAGGUAGUUCUGCACAGAUAGCGCUGAGGCUUUCAUAGAAAAGUUCCAGCAGGUGUCUUUGAAUGUCAUAAAUUAAGACUCAUAAUGCCUGCAUAGUAAGUGUCAGACUUUGUAGCAAUUAGCUUAUUUAGGUUUUUCUUAUGUUCAUGUUAGGCCUGAAAUGUUUACAUUCUUUUAAAAAUCUAUUUUAUAGUAUUCAGGGUUUUUAUAGAAAACUUUCGUUUAAUAACUAUAAAUUUCAAAAUUACAACUUUUAGAUUACAGCAUUUCUUCUUCCCAUAACCUCCCUCCCACCCACAAAUCAACCCAUCUCUUACACCCUCUCCCGUCCAAUUCUUCAUUAAGAUUGAUUUUUUAAAAAUUAUCUUUAUAUACAGAAGUUCAGCUCUAUACUAAGUAAAGAUUUUAACAGUUUGCACCCACACAGACACACAAAGUAUAAAGUACUGUUUGAAGACUAGUUUUACUGUUAAUUCUCAUAGUACAACACAUAAGGGACAGGGGUCCUACACAGGGAGCAAGUAUACAGUGACUCUUGUUAAUUUAACAGUUGUCAGUAAUCACCCGAGACUCUUGUCAUCACAAACUCGGACCCUGUUUUGACAAGGCCAUAAUCAAAGUGGAAGUUCUUUUCUUUUUCUCUUCUAUCUCUCCUAUUUAUUUAUUUAUUUAUUUGAAAGUCACAGUUACGCAGAGAGGGGUCUUCCAUCCAAUGGUUCACUCCCCAGUUGGCCACAAAGACCAGAACUGCACCUUUCUGGAGCCAGGAGCUUCUUCCUGGGUCUCCCAUGUGGGUGCAGGGGCCCAAGGACGUGGGCCAUCUUCUGCUUUCCCAACCCAUAGCAGAAAGCUAGAUUGAAAGUGGAGCAGCCAGGUUUGGAACCAGCGCCCAUAUGGGAUGCUGGUGCUUCAGGCCAGCACUUUAACCCUCAGCCUCACAGCGCUAGCCCCCAGCAGUGUUUUCAACAUUUGUCCUAAACAUCAGUAUUUAAAAAAAUUACUUUGUAUUAAAUUUAUAUUUGCCAAAUGAAGAAAUUAAUAGUAUAUCAGGUUUUAUUUUUCCCCAAAAGAAGCCUUUUAUUUAACGAGUAUAGAUUUCAUAAGUACAACUUAAGGAAUAUAGUUAUUCUUGCCACCAUACCCACCUUCCCACCCCGACUUGUUCCAUACCUCCUCCUCCCUCUCCCAUUCCCAGUCCCAUUCUCCAUUAAGAUUCAUUUUCAGUUAACUAUACACAGAAGACCAGCUCUGUACUAAAGAUUUCAACAGUUCACACACACAGAGAAGAAGUUUUACAGUUAAUUCUCAUAAUACAACUAAUUGAGGACUGAAGUGUUAAAAUGACUCCUGUCGUUAAUUUAACAUUAGCACUUUUAUGUAUGAUGUCAGUGAUCACCCCAGGCUUUUGACAUGCUCUGCCAAGGCUAUGGAGGCCUUUUGAAUCCACAGUCUCCUUCAGUAUUUAAACAAGGCCACAUCAUAAGCAAAGUGGAAGUUUUCUCUCUUCAGAGAAACAUACAUCCUUCUUUGAUGGCCACUUCUUUCCACUGGGUUCUCUCCCACAGAUAUCCUUCAUGUAGGACAUUUUUUUGCCAUGAUGUCUUGGCCUUCCAUGCAUUAAAUGCUUUGAUGGCCUUUUCAGUCAGACCAGAAUGUCAUAGGGCUGAUUCUGAGGUCAGUGCUACUUAAGACAAUUGUCAUUCCAUGAUAUGAGUCUGCUGUGUGGACUGCUUCCUAUGUUGGAGCGUUCAUUCCUUUUUAAUUUUAUCCACUUUUAUUGCCAAACACUAAAUCUUAUAUAUGAUCACUUUUAACACUUAAUCCUAUCCAUAUGCUCACAUUAACACUUAAAAUGCCAUUUUUGCCAACUGGCUUAAGGGGAUAUUGGGUCCCAUGGCAAGUUUUUAAAAUGUAGCCUUAGAAGUAAGUCCCUAGGAAUGUAUGCAAUGUAUGUAGUCCUCCCUCUCUUAUUCCCAUUCUGAUUUUUUUCUGAUACCUAUUUUCAGUUGACUUUUCACAUGAUUAACUCUAUGUUAAGUGUAUGAAGAAAAAAAAAAAACUUCAAGUCAAGACAGGGCUUUUUAUGUUAUUAAAUUUAUACUUAUCAAAUGAAAUUAAUAUAGAAAAUAGAAAUAAAAAUGAAGCUCGCUCUUUCAUCUAAGGAUCCCUGCCUGAAUUACAUUUGAAUCCUUCCAGAAUUUUCUUUUGUGCUUGCUACACACCUGGUUCUGAUAUUUUUUUAAUGGUAAGAUGUUACAUAAUAUCAUUAGUUACAGAUUGUCAGUUAGAUUGCUGAUAGGUUUUUCUGUCAUGCAAGUAAUACGUAGCGUCCUUGAAGAGCAUUUCCAGUCUGAUUUCCUGGAAAGGACUCUAAGCCGACUUAAGGAGUUUGUGAAUUGUGUAUGUUAAUGGUUUUGUUAUUGUCAGAAUGUUUUCUGAAAUAGGUGGUACUAACAAAUUUCCAGCAGCUGAGUGUGAGUGGUCUUUUCUCAUACCAUAUUAAUUCCAAAAUAUUAACCUUUAGUCUGUUAAUUUUAAGGUGGACAAGUGAUAUGUCAUUAAAAUUAAGGAUUGCCUGGAUUCAAUUCUGAGUUGAACCAAAAAUUGGCUGUGGUUUUGGGCAAGUUUUGCUUGAGCUCUUUGUUAGUUUUUUCUUUUUUCUUAUUUGUUAAACCUGUUCUGUGUCAUCGUCUAUUAGGAAUGCUUACUGGAUGAGCAUGACUUAAAGUACCAUCUUAAUUUUUAUAUCUCCACUUAGAAUCUCUUCAAACCCAGCCUGGAAUUGGGCCCAUAUUUGACAUUGAAAGGAAUGUUAAUGAAGCUUCCUUAGUUUUACUGGUUAUUUUUGAGUAAUCAAAGGCUCUCCACUUGCAGUCACGGAAGUCUCAGUUUUAACACAUCAUUAGUUUUAAUAAGCAUCUUUUAAUCUGUUUAAUGAAUUUGAGGAAAUGUGCAUGAUGUCACUGACAUAGUCAAGAAGCAGAACAUUUCCGUCCCCUCUGCCAUCUCCGGCUUGUCUGCAGGCUGCCCGUCCACACUCUGUCAGUAUAGAUUUCCUAAAGUUCUAUAUAAAUGGAAUCCUGUAAGGUUUAUGUGUCUGAUUUCUGUCAGCAUAAAAAGUUUUGAAAUGCAUCAAUAAAUAGUAAAAGUGUUUACUUUUUCUACUUACCCGUUGAUAUUGAACAUCCUUUCCUGUGAUUUUUGGCUAUUUGAAGUGGGCUUGACAGCUGUACUGGAAGUACAGUGCAUGCAGACAGCGCAUGGACGAGGUGCCUGCAUGUGCCAGCUCCCCUGCAAGCUUCUCCCUAUGUGUCUCUUCCAUUUGGUUGCUUCUUCGUCAUACCUUUUGUAAUAAAAAUGGCAUCAUAAGUAUAAAUACAUAAAAGGUCUUGAGGACCCUAAAGAAUUACAGAACUCCUCGGUUUUCAGAUUGACUCUAUAAAAUAGGGAGUAGAGUGCCAGUUUUUCUGGUUACUUCCUGCUGAUAAAGGUGCUGAUACGGGGUUGGGUACCUAUACUCUGCAUCGGAUUGAUCGAAGAAAAGCAGUCUUGUGUUGUUCCUGCAUGGUGGCUUGGGAUAUAGCAUUCAUUCAUUCUUGUAAGAACUUUUGAAAUUCAUGAAUUAUACAUGGUAGGAAUAGAAGCACUAUGAUUAUGAGGAUAAAGGGAGAUAGUAGAGACAUUGCCAUGGCUGAAUAGAUGGCCCAAAUUAGGAUUAUUGGGGAAUACAUUUUUUUUUUUUUUAAGAAUUAUUUUACUUGAGAGUUUCAGAGAGAGGUCCCCUAUCUGAUGGUUCACUCCUCAAUUGGCCACAACAGCCAGAACUGUGCAGAUCCAAAACCAGGAACCUCUUCCAAGUCUCCCACGCGGGUCCAAGAUGGCCCAAGUCCUUGGGCUCCCUUCCACUGCUAUACCAGGCCAUACCAGAGAGCUGGAUGGAAAGUGGAGCAACUGGGACUAGAACCGGUGCCCAUGUGGGAUGUAGGCACUGCAGGCCAGGGCGUUAUCCCGCCACGCCACAGCGCCGGCCCCAGGGAAUACAUUUUGUUAGCACAUUUUUUUUAUGUGUUUGAUCCCUUCUCUUAGCCACACUCGACUUACUGGUGUAAAAGCAGCAUUCUUCACCCAAAAGAGGUCAAGUCACCUGUGAUUUUGGACAUGAGACAAUCGCUUUGCUAGGUCGUUCCUUUUUAGAGUGAGCGAUAAGUCUUCAGUUUUAUUUGCUUGUUUACCAAGAUGGCCAGUGUGGCCAUUCCUGUUUCAGUUCCUGCCAAGACACCUAAUGAGACCAGCAAGGGGGCGAGUCCAAAAUCCCUCUUGAGAUGGUGGGUUAGAGGAUGGAAAAUAGAGAUUGGUCUAGAGUGUAGGACAAAGGAGGAAAUGGGACGGUAAGAGUACCAGUCCCCAUCUAGUUAGUGGGAAGACAGAUGUAAACUUUAUUGCCACAGAAAGAACACCCCUGUUUCUGGUCCUGUACAUGUGAUCAUAUGGUAAGUGACAACCUUUAUGUUUCUUAGUGGCAGGGGAACGUGAUGAGUGAUUGCUAUAGCAGCUGAUUGCAUUAACUUUGUAGUAUUGAUGGUCAGUAAGGGUGGGUCUGGAAGAGUGCUAAUUAGGUCACAGGUGCCAUGGGGAUAUGAACCCACAUCAUGGAAAGAAAGGAAAGGAAGAGGGCAUGAUGCAUAAAGGGGCUUGACAGAUCAGUGACGCUGUAGCAAAAAUGCUUCGGACAGAAAUAACAGAACUCCAGUGUACACCCCCCCCCCCCCCCCGCCAUCUUGGUGUCAUUUCCUGGGAACUCCAGAAGAGAGACAUCUUCGGCUUUUGUCAGGAAGGUUCUGGUACAGGUAACAUAAACAAGUCUAGGGGCCUUUUCCCAGAUCUGGGAGGGAGUUGGGAGGGCAUGGCCAAGGAGUGUGUACAGAUCCAACAUGAAGAGACAUUGGGUUUAUAUUUAAAGAAUAGAGUAGAAGAAAUGUAGAUAGAGUAGAAGAAAUGAGAUAAGAAUUGUGGGAGGAAAUGUGGAUGAGGUAUGUGGGGACUUGAGACCACAAAGUGGGGGACCAGGUUAGAAGCAGCAGACAGUAGUAAAGCUUCCUUCCAAGAACAGGAGUAGAGUAAGGGUGCUAAGAGAAGUUUGGUUGGGACAAUUGCUGCUAAGCCUACAGCCAUGAUCAGGGCUAUGACUGCAGACAGACAUGGAGGGUCAAAAAGGGUAUCUGUAGGACUGAAACCCCAGAGAUGGCUCUGGAGCUGACAGUCUGAGAUGAGGUAGACUGGUGGAGAGAGAUUCCAAUGGCUCUUUGCAGAAUGAACUGCAGAAACCUGCAGUUCAGAAUUGUCAGGGCAUGAGAAGGCCGUGCUUCCGGUAUUGCAGGGAGCUCUGUCAACCCUGGAGCGGGAAGAGACUUACAUGAAGUAAAAUAUACCUGGGGCGUGCCCCUUAAGGACAGGAGUGGAGGGGGGCUAGAGAGGGGCCAGGACAGGGCAGGCGGUUGGAAGCCAGGCUUCAUUCCAUUUGAACAGCUGGCAGAGUCCUUCUUAAGCUGCUUGUUGGGGGAGGUGCAGAGCAGCACAUAGACCCUGAUGAGGUGGAGAAUACAGGGCGUGGGUCUGAGCUACUUGAGAAAGAAUGCAGGAGCUAGGGAGCCCCUGGAUGGCAGUGGGAGUAGGGAAGGGGGGUGAAGAUGUGUCUUUCAGUCAAGGAGCUAAAAUGGCUCUGAGGCUUAAGUUCUUAGUUCUGUCAGAGACGAUCAGGGUGACUCUGGGAUUUUAACUUGAUCUGUGUAGGGAGGAGUGGCUGUGAAACAGUGAUGGAGAAGACUGCAGUGUGCAGAGACUGGAGAGGGGUGCAUCUGGGAUUGAAGCUUUGAGUGUUUUGUAUUUGGUAGGCCACAAGGUAAGGAGGUGAUUUAUGUUGGAAUUGAUUUCAGGUAAAAGAUUGAGGAUGUAGUGUGCGUGUAUUUUUAGGAAAUCGUGUUAACUUGGCACGUAUUCCUAAAGGUAAGUCUGACAUCUCUCUCUAGUAGAGUUACUGCACAGCUUGUAAGUCUGGGUGUGUAUGAGAAGGACCAUGGACACCCUGAGAAUCAGCUACACACAGCAAGGGAUUCAACCUAAGACCUUGUGGCUACAAACUGUUUUAAUAGGUUUUCAGCUUCCAUGAUGGUAAAGAAAGGAUGGAUCCAUGGUUCAGUUUGCUGGGGAUGAAAGAUACAGGAACAGAAAGGCAACUGCUUAUCCUUUGUAUUCUCAUGCAUCAAUCACCAAUUUAAAUUAGCCACCAUAAGUCCUUCCUGGAAUAAUGUGGGAUCAUUAGUUCCUUGGAAUCAUGGGAAUGGGGAAUAUUUAUCAAUCACCACAUGCCAGACUGUUGUGAGCACCGUGGACACCCCACAACUCAGUGAAGUCUUGGAAACUAUGAGGCUGAUGUUCUCCUGUCCCCAUUUUCUGGGCGGAAGGAAAGGAGCACAGAGCGGUUGUGUUCUUGAGGUCCCAUUUGGGAAAGUCACUUGGAAAAUCUGUGAAUGAAAUCCCAGAGGGAGUGACUUUGAAACGAUGCAGGACAGCUGAAAUUUGCCAGAAGAAAUUCAUCAGGGCAAACGAGAACAAAGUGGGAUUUAAUCUUUUGAAUAUUUGGUCCUCGGUGUAAAAAUGAGUAAGGUGUUCAUACUGCCCAUCCUAGGAGUAGGGCGCUGACAGUAUCGCUGCCAUCAUUUCUGGCCUUGUGCAGUGGCUAAGUCUGGAGCAGUGUGGAGGUAAGGAGGGCACUUGGCCCAGCUGUGGAGCCUUGGGGCAGGCCCCCCCCCCCCCCCCGAGAAUCCCCAGGUAACCUUUCAAAGAACACUUAAGACUUAGGAUGAGUGUGGAGAAGAGCUCUGGGCAGAGCAGCCUGGCAUCCAGGUGGGGAGUGAGGUAUGAAGAGGCAGGAGGCUAGCUGUGGGGGUGGGGGGUGGGCUUUAUGUGCUGAGAUGUGCAAAUCACUUAAGGCUCUAGGAAGGGAGCUGAUCGGUUGGUUUUGGUAACUGCAGAGCAGACAGGGCGGUGGAAGCUGAGAGACACUAGCCCAAAGGCUGCAGCUCUGCUUUUCUCCCCACGGAGGGGGAACCGGGAAAAGGAAUAAAACAGUUUUCCUGAACAUUCAAGUUUUACUGAAAAGUAAUUUAGCAAUGUGUGAAAAUACUGAAUUCAUUGCUGGGGAAAUUAGUGUUUUUUAAUAAUUCUUAAAUGUCUGUUAAUUCAGAUGUGCUUUGGAGUACGGGAGGAGUGCAGUACUCCCUUUCUAGCUGUCCGUGGAUCUGAUGGUACCAGUGCAUUUGUUGUUUUCAUAGGGAAUGUAAAGGGGCUUGAGGAAGAUAUUCAUAUGGUUCAGUAAUGCACCUGUUUCAUGUUUUUGAGGAGCAUGAGAUCAAAACAUCCUUAACGUGCAUAUGAUUACUGUCUUGCCUUUAUGGAAUGUCAUAUUCAAACUGACAGAGAAGACCUGCGGAGAAUGUAUUUCCAAAUGGAAGACAAAAGCCUGGUUAACAUAGGACCAAGCCAUCUUCCGGCAUGAUGGCAUAUUUUGUGACAUUGUGUGAAUUACAUAGGAAUUUAUCAACUCAGAGGCUGUUACUUGAAAUAGAGAAUGACAUUUGGCAUAGAUGUUAGUUGGUAUUAUUGUUUAUAAGGAAAUUUGAAUGUGAAACAUUUCUAGCAGAUUUAAGAAAUCUUUGACAGGGAAAAAGGGGAAAGUUAGAAUACAGAAGUGAAUCAUAAUGAGUAGCAGAUAGUAUGUGUGUGAGGCAUUUCCCGUGACUGGAAGAUGGACUGGCAAGUCUGUCUUUGUCUUGGAUGCUAUACUACGAAGAAGACAGGUGGAGGUAUUUCUUGAAGGCACUUGCUAGGAUAGUAUCGUCUGUCCCUUGAAGAAAAUGGGAAACUGAAGUUUGACCUCUCAUUUUCAUCCCUCAUGCCCACCCUCUGCUCAAAAAGAUUGCAUGAUAUAGUGAGGUAAUUUUUUUUAGAACUAAAUGGUUGCAACAGCCAGGGCUAAGCCAACCUGAAGCCAGGAGACAGGAACUCCAUCCUGAUAUCCCAUGUGAUUGGCAGAGGCCUAAAUUCUUGGUCCUUCCUCCUCUGCCUUCCCAAGCCCAUUGGUAAGAAACUGAAUCAGAACUGGAGUAGCUGUUCUCAUUCCAGCACUCAUGUGGGAUGCUGGAAUCACAGGCAUCAGCCUUAACUCACUGUCACAAUGCCUGUUCCAUCUCUAACAUAUCUGAUUCUUUUGAGGUUUUUUCCUUUUAAGUAAUUUAUCAUUUUAUUUGAAAAGCAAGGGCUGUUGCUAUGGCAUAGCUCGCCACCUGUGGUGACAGCAUCCCGUAUGGGCACUGGUUCAAGUCUUUGCUGUUCUGCUGCCAAUUCAGCUUCCUGCUAGUGCACCUGGGAAAGCAGCAGAAGAUGGCCCAAGUGCUUGGGCCCCUGCACCCAUGUGGGAGACCUGGAAGAAGCUCCUGGCUCCUGGCUUUGGACCAGCUCAGCUUUGGCCAUUGCAGCCAUUUGGGUAGUGAAUCAGCAGAUGGAAGAUCUCUCUCUCUCUCUCCCUCUGUUUCUGUGUAACUCUGCCCUUGAAGUAGGUAAAUAAAUCUUUAAAAAAAGAAGAAAAGGAAAAGCAGAGAGAGAGAGCUGUUCCAUCCACUGGCUCACUCUCCAGAAAAGCAAAAUGGCCAGGGAUUGAUCGGACCAAGGCUGAGAGCCUGGAACUUCAUCCAGGUCUCCCACAUAGGGUUGGCAGGGGCCAAGCACUUGAAGCAUGGUUCACUGCUUUCCCAGGUGAAUAGCAGGGAGUUGGAUUGGAAGCAGAGCAGCUGGGACUUGAACUGGUACUCUGUUAUGGGAUGCCGGCACCACAGGUGAAGACUUAACCUCUGAGCCACAAGCUGGCCACCAUUUUUAAGUUUUUAACUGAAAAAAAAUGACUGCCUUGUCAAGUUUUUUUGUUUUGUUUUGCUUUUUGAGUUUUAUUUGAACAGUUAGUUUCCAUAUGCUUGUUCACUCACCAUAUGCCUGCUAUGGCUGGGGCUUUUUAGGCUGAAGCUGGAAGCCUGGAGCUCAGUUCAGUUCUCCCACACAGGUAGCAGGGACUCCACUGAGCCAACACCUGCUGUUUCCCAGCGUGCUCAUUUAGCUGGAAGCCGAAAUUGGGUGCCCAGCUUGGAUUUGAACCCAAUCAUUCCAAUAUUGGAUGUGGGUAUUACAACCCGAGGCACCUGCCAAACCAAAUGCCUAUCCCUAAAUAUGUUUUAAGAGCAGGAAAGAAAAGUCAGGAGGAGCUGAUUCAGGACUGUCAGGUGGAUGCCCUAAGACUUCCCAUGGAAAUUCUCCCAACCUUGACCUUGUUUGAUGAGAGGAAUGAAUAGGAGCGUUGUUUUGGUGCAGGGUUUCUGGUGAAGCUUUCCCAGGAGAAAACUCAAGCUUUGAAUUUUUCAAAACAUUGUCCCAAUAACCAGAUGGUAUCAUUCUUUGGCACCACCCACCCUCACCUCAGCAAGGUGGCUAAUAAAAUGUUUGGGGCAUCCCAGAAAACUGUUGCAAGACCUUUGCUCUUGAUCUGUUUGCUUUUGCCUUUUUUUUUUUUUUUUUAAGAUUUAUUUAUUUCAAAGGCAAAGUUAACAGAGAGACAGAGGCACAGAACGCGCACGCGAGAGAGGGAGAUGUCUUCCAUCGGAUGGUUCACUCCCCAGAUGGCAGCUGGAGCUGUGCUGAUUCGAAGCCAGGAGCCAAGAGCUUCUUCUGGGUCUCAUGUGCAGGUGCAGGGGCCCAAGGACUUGGGCUGUAGCAGAGAGCUGGAUCGGAAGUGGAGCAGCUGGGACACGAAUCAGCUCCUAUAUGGGCUGCUGGUGCUGGAGGUAGCUUUACCCAUUAUACCACAGUGCCACCCCCUCCAGUAUUUUUUCUUUAAAUUUUAUUUUUUUUUCAUUUUAUUUAUUUUUAUAAACUUAUUCUUAAAAUUUUAUUUGAACGAGAGAGAUAGAGAUCUCAUCUACUGAUUUACUUCCCAGACAUCUGCAACAGCAAGAACAGGGUCAGGCCGAAUCCAGGAGCUAGGAAUUUGAUCCUGGUCUUCCACAUGAGUGGCAGGAACCCAGCUCCUCGAGCCAUCACCCACUGCCUCGCACGGUCUGCAUUAGCAGGAAGCUAGAAUUGGGAGCUGAGCCAGAACUUGAACUUAGACACUGCCGUAUAAGAUAUGGGUGUCUUAUACACUAAUGUAUACACUUAGGCACUUAUACACUGCACCAAACUACCUCUUAACUUACUUCCUACUGAUGACAGCAAGGCUUUUCCUCUACUAAAAUCAUGCUGUGCAGCAAAUUCCUGUGUAUUUACCUUUAAGUACUUCAGUGUGUUGGGAUGUUUUAGGUGUUUUAUUUGAAAGGCAGAGAGACAAAAAUCUUCCAUCCACUGAUUCGUUCCCCACAAUGCCUGCAACAGCCAGGACAGGGCCAAGGCUGCAGCUGGGAGCUAGGCAUUCAAUCCAGGUCUCCCAUGUGGGUGGCGGGAAAGCAAUUACUUGAGCUGUCAGUGCUGCCUCCCAACAUCUGCUUUAGCAAGCAACUGGAGCUGGAAAUCAAACCCAGGCUCUCGCAUGUGGGCUGUUAUCUAAACCAUUGUAGUAACCCCUAGACCAAACACUUGCCCCUAUAGCUAUUUUUUUUUGAAUAUUUAUGUAUUUAUUUGAAAGAGUUACACACACACAGAGAUCUUCCAUCCGAUGGUUCACUCUCCAAUUGGCUGCAAUGGCUGGAGCUGUGCUGAUCUGGAGCCAGGAACCAGGAGCUUCUUCUGGGUCUCCCAUGCAGGUUCAGGGUCCCAAGGACUUGGGCCAUCUUCUGCUUUCCCAGGCCAUAGCAGAGAGCUGGAUCGGAAGUGGAGCAGCUGGGUCUUGAACCGACGCCUAUAUGGGAUUCCAGCGCUUCAGGCCAGGGCUGAACCCGCUGCGCCUCAGCGCCAGCCUCUUGUUUUUCUGUUUUUCAUGAAAGCUAUUGAAGCAUCCAGGUCAGUUGAUUUGCAGGCUGUCCUUCCGUUUCUAUCUGUCCAGCAGCUCUCUCAUGAUUCAGCCAGCAAUGCAGAGGUGAUGUUUUGGCCAUUUCCCGGUAGUACACAAGGAGUCACAUGACACCAGUUUGUCCAGUUAUUGCUGAUGUUGGAGUUUGAUCAUUUGGUGAGCUGCUGUGUCCCAUGCUUCUCUAUACCCUGUUUUCUGUUCUUUCAUUGAAUGAUUUUUGCGUCCAGUGAUAAUUACAGUCUGAAUCAGUUAUUGCUUUGAAGGUUAUAAAAUGUUAGUUUUCUAUUUCUAUCAUUUUUGUGUUUAUUGGCUGGCAUUCCUCCAGCCUCCCUCCCCCUUCUUUUUCACAUUAGUUUUCCUCCUGAGACAAGUUGUUCUAGGCUUAUCUUAUAUUUUCCCUGACCAUUUUGCAAUGAACCCUGGCUUCUCUUUAAGGAAAAUGCAUAUUUAGAAAAUAAGACCCAGGUCUUUGUGUAGAACAUUUCCAUCAUCACAAGAAGUUUCCGGGUGUCCCCUUCCUGUCUCUGACCCCAGCCCCAUGCAAUCACUUACCUCCUGUCACCGUCGUUUCUGGAUUUUCAUAUAGUUGGAAUCAUGUUUUAUGUGCUCUUUUGUAUCUGGCUUCUUUUGUUCAGCAUGCUUGACACGCAUCCGUAUUGUGAUUAUCAGUAGUGUUCCAUUGUUUGACUAUAAUGCAGUUCCCGUGUUAAUGGACAUUUGGAUUGUUUCCGAUUUGGGCUGUUGUGAAUAAAGCUGCCACAAACAUCUGUGUGGAAGUCUAUGUGUGAACAUGCGGAUUUUUCAUUUCUCUAGGGUAAAUACCUAGGUUUGGAAUUGUUGGCACAUAUGGUAAGUGUAAGUAAGUUUAAUUUUACAAGAAAUUGCCAAACCGUUUUCCAGAGUGCUUGUAUUAUUUUCACCAUCAAUACAUGAGAUUUCGUUUGUUCCAUCUCUUAACCAACACUUGGUGUUCUUUGCAUUUUUCAGCUAACCAUUCUAAGUAUUGGGUACUCUGAUUUCAUUUCGUGUUUUUCCAGGUAAUAAUGUUGAUCUUUUUCAUGUGCUUAUCUGCCUUCAGGAGGUCUUUUUGAAGUUUAUAUUCAUAUUUUCCACCCAUUUUGAAAUAAGCUCUUUCUUUUCUUUAAGAUUUAUUUAUUUGAAAGUCAGAGUUACACAGAGAGAGAAGGAGAGGCAGAGAAAAAGAGAGAGGUCUUUCAUCCACUGGUUCAUGCCCCAGAUGGUUGCAAUGGCUGGAGCUGUGCCAAUCCGAAGCCAGGAGCCAGGAGCUUCCUCCGAGUCCCUGACGUGGGUGCAGGGGCCCAAGGACUUGGUAUAUCUUCUGCUGCUUUCCCAGGCCACAGCAGAGAGCUGGGUCAAAAAUAGAGCAGCCAGGACUAGAACCGGCACCCAUAUGGGAUGCCGGCACUGCAGGUGGCGACUUAACCCACUGUGCCACAAGCUGGCCCCAGUGAUUCUGUACUUGUUAAGUGACUGACAGUUGUGGAUUGUUAGUUGCUGCAGCAUAACCUAAUUUUUCUUGACUAACAAAGUGAAAUUAGUUUCAUGGUAAAUGUUGGAACUUGGGGCUUCACACCUAAAGAAUAAUUGGACUGGUGCUGGCGCUGUGGCAUAGUGGGUAAAGCCACCGCCUGCAGUGCCGGCAUCACACAUGGGCACCAGUUUGAGACCUAGCUGCUCCACUUCUGAUCCAGCUCUCCGCUAUGGCCUGGGAAAGCAGAAGAAGAUGCCCCAAGUCCUUGGGCCUCUGCACCUGCAUGGGAAUACCCAGAGGAAGCUCCUGGUUCCUGGCUUUGGAUUGGCGCAGCUCCAGCUGUUGUGGCCAAGUGGGGAGUAAACCAGCAGAUGGAAGACCACUCUCUUUCUCUCUCUGUGUAACCCUUUCAAAUAAAUAAAUAAAUAUUAAAAAAAAAUUGUACCAAGGGGGUCUCUGUGAACAGAGAUGCUGAAGUAUUGAGUUCAAUUUUAGAUUGUAACCAGUCAGUAAUACCAGUCUAUCUGAGAGUGAAAAAAUAUAUUUAUUUUAUAUAUUUAUAAAUAUAUUUCAUAUAUAUUUAUUGGGGGCAUGGCAUUUGGCCUAGUGGUUAAGAUGGUUUAAGUGGUUUAAGACACCUGUUUCUCAAAAAAUAAAUAAAAGGGGGCCAGUGUGGUACAGCAGGUUAAAGUCCUGGCCUGCAGCUCUGGCAUCCCAUAUCGGCACCAGUUCGAGUCCUGGCUGCUCCAUUUCGUAUCCAGCUACCUACUAAUGCACCUGGGAAAGCAGCAGAGGAUGGCUCAAGUGUUUUGGCCCAUAAACCCACGUGGGAGACCCAGAAGAAGCUCCUAGUUUCUGGCUUCAGCCUGGCCCAGCCUUGGUUGUUGCUGCCAUGGCAGGGAAUGAACCAGUGGAUGGAAGAUGUCUCUCUGUGUCACCACCUCUUUCUGUAACUCUGCCUUUUAUAUAAAUAAAACUUAAAAAAAAAAAAAAAAAGACACCUGUGUCUCAGAUUGUAGUACCUGAGUUGGAUUUGUCACUCCAGCUUCCUGCUGUGUACAGUCUAGGAAGCUGUAGGUCAUGGCUCAAGUAGUUGAGUCCCUGCCACCCACGUGAGAGACCUGGAUUGAGUUCCUGGCUCCCGGCUUUGGCCUAACCUUGUCCCAGCCAUUGUGGGUGUUUGGGGAGUGAACCAGUGGGUGGGAGCUCUCUCUUUCCUUCUCCUUCUCCAAUUAAUAAAUUAAAGCAAGUAAAAUACUUCUUUUCUUAACAAUUUCCUUGGUAUUUUACGACUGUGAAAACGUAUUUACAAGCAUCUCUCCAUGAAAGAUUUACUCCACAAACCAGUAAUGAUCUCCACACACGUGUGAUCACAUGUUCAACAUAACCCUGACCUCAGUUGCCUUCCCACCCCAUUUCAGCUGUCUGCGGCUGUUUGCGUUCAUUCACAUUCUCGGUACAGAUUUACGUAAUUAAUCCUCUGACACUUCUUCUUCCAGCCCCCUUUAGGAGUCCUGACUCCAUGCAGGGAUCUCAAUUCUAACUCCCUAAGUCAGCUGGGUCGUCCUUAGCUCCUGCAUGCUCCAUGGGUGGCAGAACUGUGACUUCUGUCUAAAUCAUCAAGAUUGCCUCACCUUCCUAUCCCACUCUGUUCCCCCCACCUCCACACAAAUUUUGGAAUCCACACAUACAGGUUUUCCAUGAUACAUCUUUUCCCUGAACUUUCUGAAGACACCUCAUAUGCAUGGAUUUUAAAAUUUAUUUACAGCAGAAUAAACUUGCCUUUUAUUUCCAUUCUCCAUGAACUUGUUGAAAUCCCUUUGCAAGUACUAGCAACAGAAAUCCCUACCACUACCACUCUCCAGGAUAUGAACUUAGGCUACAAGGAUGUACAGGUUAGUCUAGCACCUGUGUGCAUCUGUACCCAUCUGUUUUCCUGUCUUCCUGCUGUUGAAGCCAUGGUUACUGGAGAUUUUGUCUUCCAGCCUGCUAGGAGACAUACUGUUAUCUCCCUCAUUUCUGUAGCUUCAGCCUUUUCUCUACUCACUCCUUCCCACCCUGAGAAACUGAGUUUUAGGCACAUUAAUAUAUCUGCAAUAGUAAGCUUAUCUUUUAUUUUUUAAGUUUUUAUUUAUUUGACAGAGCUCUCAUCCAUUGGUUCACCUCUCCAUAUCCACAAAAUGGCUGCGCAUUGGCCAGGCUGAGGCUGGGAGCAAGGAACUCAAUCAAUCCAGGUCUCUCCUGUGGGCGGCAGGUGCCCAACUACUUGAGCAACCACCACGGCCUCCCAGAAUCCGUGUUAGCAGGGAUCUGGAGUCAGGAGCAGAGCAGAGAAUCAAACCCAGGCACUCAUGUGUGAGAUGGUAGCAUCCUAACUGACGUCUAACCUCUCGUCUUGUAAUUGGUAUUUUGGGUUUUAAUGUUGCAGCUCCAGAGUUGCCCAGGAAGCAGAAGGCGUCUCCUAUUGCCUGUCUUACUCCUGAACAUGGGCCUGAUGUUGUUCCUCAAAAAUCUAAAACGUUCCACAGCCCGGUUUCCCCUCUCGGCCCCAGUGAAGAGAGGGCUGGGUUUUGUUACUUCAGGCCCAUUGGUGGGGAUCAAAGUGGGUGAUGUAGAAAAUAAGACGGUGGAGAAAGGGUUGGUUCAAGGCUCGUUCUAGAAGAGAUUCCUUCAUGUUUGGGAGAGCAGUGAGGCCUGGUAUGUACCCAUUGGCCCACAGUGAGCAGACGCCUGAUUGUGGAAGAGCAAGUGUGGGAAGCUGGUGAAGACGACACGUGGUCUUGAGAGCAGUACUGAGAAUCUCUCUAGCAGAGCUCGAGGAAAGAGGAAUACGGUUGGGAUUGCCUCUCAGAGCCCCUCGGUAGUGAUGGGGGCCGGCAUUUGUCAGCAGGGAAGGAACAGAGAACCAUGACAAGCACCGCAGACCCUCUCCACAUUCUCCAAGCAUAUGUAACUCCCACGAUUCUGGUAUGACCACAGAGAAUCUGGUGGGAGCAACAGGAUAGGGGACCCUUUCCCUCUAAACCAGGCCAACGUGAACUUUCCGUUAACACUACCAGGUGAGGGAAGGUUGGGACCAAAAGCAAGUUAGUUGGAUUUAUAGAAACAAAGAGAUGAUUACUGAGCAUCAUGAAGUAAUUCAUACAGUUAUGAAUGAAUACAUUUUACAGUUAAAACCUGUGGGGAGUAAAUGAAAACUGUGCUGCCAGUGAUGCUCUGCCAAACACUUGGCUUUGAAAGUGUUGUUCUUCAGUGAUUAAUUAUUCUCUUGCAUCCCUUUUCUAAUGAAGAAAAAAAAUCCUGCUCUGAAAUAUAUGGCAUAGUUAAUUUCCAUUCUUAGUCUGGUCUCUCUGUUUUCCUUGGAAAUCUGUCUUUUGAUAGACGUCUCUGUGUCAUGUUUCUUGUUCUGGUGAGGUCUGGCUGAGUGACGUCUAUCAGUAAUGUAUUUAGGUAUUUACUUAUUUAUACUUAAAAAUAAUUUUAAAGUUUAUUUAUUAGAGAGACAGACAGACAGACACCUAUCUGCUGCUUCACUCUUCAAAACCCCACAACAACCAAGGCAAAACCAGAAGUCCAGAAUUCACUCCAGGUCUCCCAUGUGGAUGGCAGAGACCCAGGUAUUCCAGCCACUGCCUGCUGCUUCCCAAAGGUGGAUCAGAAGCGAGUGGCUGGGACUUGAACCUGGGAUGUGGGUAUUCCAAGCAGUGUCUUAUCCUCUGUGCCAAAUGCCUGUCCCCAUAUGUACACGUCCAUAGAACCUACUGUGCGUCUUACAGAGUUGACAAGCCUGUCGGGUCUGAGUGUAAGGAUCACGUAGGCGUUCUAGCUUCUCUCUUGUCCUCCCUGUUUGAGUACUGAGAAGCCGUGCUGGACUUGGUUCUGUUCUUCCCGCACCUGCUGCCCUAUUCUGCUUCUGCGUGUGAGCAUCAUAUUCUUUCUUUCCAGAACGCUCUCCACCCCCUUUCCUCCCGAACGCCUGGCCUUAGUCACCCAUUCUGACCGUGGCUUCAGCCAGCACUGCCUCCCUUGGUGUCCUUUCAUCUAGGUUAGCCUCCCCUGUUUUAGAUCAGUCUGUUGGCACCAAAGUACCUCUCUCGUUUGUUUUUAUCUGCACUCACAUUUAUUCUUGUGUGUGUAUGUGUAUGUGUGUGUGUGUGUGUGUGUGUGUUAAGAUUUAUUGAGAGAGAGAGAUUGAUUCCAUUCUCUGGUUUACUCCCCAAAUGGCUGCAAUGGCCAGUGCUGGACCAGGCUGAAGCCAGGAGCCAGCAGCUUCUUUCUGGUCUCUGACGUGAGUGCAGAGCCCAAGGACCUGGGCAGUCUUCCACUGCUUUUUCUUGCCAUUAGCAGGGAGUUGGAUCAGAAAUGGAGUAGCCAAAAUGCAAACUGGCUCCCAUCUGGGAUGCCAGCACCACAAAACCCGCUGAACCACAGUGCCGGCCCCGUACAUCACAUUUUCUCUUCAUUGGAUUGUAAGUUCUACAAGGCAGUGUCCUCUUCCUGAAGUCCUUGUCCCCAGUUCCCCUCCCAGCGUUUCUGUUGUCCACCACCUAAUGCCUGCAAAACAAACUGGAGUUGUGAGUUAGUGUUGUUUUCCCUGGUAUCCUCGCCUUUCAAAACUCUCAAGUGUUCAGGGACCAUAAACAACAGCAGGUGUUUUCUGACUUAUUAAACAAAGCUGGGGGUGCGUUGUGACCCAGCCCUGGUAGUAAGCGUGGGUCUCAUUUGGGUCUCACUUCCUUCCCUGUGGUAAGUUCAUUGAUGAGGUGAUUGGAGCUCAAUCUCUGAUGACUUGAGCAAAGAUAAUAAUGUUGUUGAGAGCCUGUUAUUAGUUGCUGUGGUGGGAAAAAAAACCCCUUGUGUUGAACUGCUGUUUAGGUUUUUUUGGAUAGAGUAUAUUUUGGGACCCCAUGAGUAGCUAGAGAACCUGGUCUGUUACUAGAUAAUGGGAUCAUCUAGGAAUUUGGUCAGCCAAUAGGAUGGAUUUGGAUCUUGUUAGAAAUGCAGAUUCUCGGGCCCCACCCCAGAUUUAGUGACAGAAUGGGUGUUCUAACAAGAUUCCUGGGUGACCAGUGUCUCCUUUAGCAUUGAACAACUACUGCUUCACACAGUAGUUGAGGGGAGGGAGAGCUCUUUGUUAACAUUGAUUCAUUCAUCCACUAAAUGAAUAAUUUUUUUAAAAAUUAAAACUUUAUUUAUUAUUUAUCCGAAAGGUAGAAGUAGAAAGGGAGCAAGAGAGAGAUUUCCAUCUGCUUGUUCACUUCCCAAAUGGCCACAGUGGCUAGGGCUGGACCGGCAGAAACCAGGAGCCAGGAGCCAGGAACUCCUGAGUCUCCCUCAUGGGUGCAGGGGCCCAAGGACUUGAGCUGUCUUCUGCUGCUUUCCCAGGCGCAUUAGCAGGGUGCUGACUUGGAAGUGGAACAGCCAGGAAUUGAACUGGCUCCUAUAUGGGAUGCUGGCGCUGCAGGCAGUGGCUUAACCCACUGUGCCACAAUGCCAGCCCCACAGAUACCUUUUACGUGUGUAGUUUUCAUUAAGCAUUAGUAGUAUUGGUCCUAAUAACAAGAAGAACAUGAAUAAUAAUGAGUCAAGCAUUUCACACAGUACAUUAUUUUUUAAAGAUUCAUUUAUUUAUUUGAAAGAGAUACACAGAGAAAGGAGAGAGAGAGAGAGAGAGAGAGAGAGAGAAAGAAAGAAAGAAAGUCUUCCAUCUGAUGGUUCACUCCCCAAUUGGCUGCAAUGGCUGGAGCUGCGCUGAUCUGGAGCCAGGAACCAGGAGCUUCUUCUGAGUCUCCCAUGCUGGUGCAGGGGCCCAAGGACUUGGGCCAUCUUCUGCUGCUUUGCUAGGCCAUAGCAGAAAGCGGGAUCAGAAGUGGAGCAGCCGGGUCUUGAACUGGCACCCAUAUGGGAUACUGGCGCUUUAGGCCAGGGUGUUAACUUGCUGCGCCACAGUGCCGACCCCAGUACAUUAUUUUUAAUUCUCACAACCUUGAGAGGAAGAUGGUAUGGGUUCCAUUUUACGAUGCAGACACUGGAGGUUCAGUAGGGAGCCUGUGACUUCUCACAAGCAUAUGUGAUGCUUCUAGUUCUAUCCUAAGAAUGGAGGGUGUGAGAUCUUACACUCUGAAAUCCUUGGCCAGCACAAAACUCAUUUUGGGUUCAUUUAAGCAAAUGAAAUGUAAACCUAUUAUUACAAAAAUGGAAAGGAACAGAGGGGAGGAAGCAGAAAUUCUUAUGUAAAAAUGUUAGUGCAGGGCCAGCGCUGUGGCCUAGCAGGUAAAGCCGCUGCUUGUAGUGCCAGCAUCCUGUAUGGGUGCUGGCUCUAGUCUGAUCUGCUCCACUUUGGAUCCAGCUCUCUGCUAUGGCCUGGGAAAGCGGUAGAAGAUGGCCCAAGUCCUUGUCCCCUACACCUGCAUGGGAGACCCAGAAGAACUCCUAGCUCCUGGCUUUGGAUAGAUGCAGCUCCAGCCGUUGUAGCUAUCUGGGGACUGAACCAGCGGAUGGAAGACCUCUUCUCUCUCUCUCUGCGCCUCUGCCUUUCCCUCUCUGUAACACUGCCUUUCAAAUAAAUAAAUCUUUAAAAAAGAUGUUAAUGCUCCUCUAUCCAGAUUUAUUCAGUGGAAUGAAAUACUCAUUUGUCUCACAUGUUUUUGUGAGUGAGUAAAGGUAAUUUGUCAAAAUGCUGAGUCUGAAAGAUCCUCGAGAACCUUGCAUUUCUGUGUUUUGUGUCGAAUCUUGAUGGACCUCUGAAGCCCUAUGGUAAAUUCAGGUGAACAGCAGGAAAAGGAGUGAUGCAUCGUGGGCAUGAUGGUGAGCUGGCCUGCAUUGUCUGAAUCCCAGUGCCUGUCACUGGGCAGACAGUAAGUAGCCAGAGGACAUUGUUUUGGUUGCUUCUCUGUGAAGUGAGGCAAGAUGACACUUUUUAUUACCAAUCGCAGAUCAACUUGCUUCAUGUCAACAGUAUCCUUCCUGGGGUCCUGCUUCGCACCUCCACCUCCUUGUUUGCUUGGAAGGGGAGGUUGCAGCUCCAGACAGCUGAUGCGAUGCCAUGCCUUUGAUGUGUACCCUGGAGUAUUGGAGCAGGCCUGUUUACUGGGCAGGGAACAUAGUUUUCAGGAACAGAGUCAUAUUUUCCAAUGAUGUAGAUGCAAGAAAGACCAUGUAUGAUUUUAACAUACACACACACAGAAGCCCUAACAAGAUUGUUUUCUUUUAAGGCUAAAGGGGAAAAAAGCCAUUACAGGCCAGCGCCGCGGCUCACUAGGCUAAUCCUCCGCCUUGCGGCACCGGCACACCGGGUUCUAGUCCCGGUCGGGGCGCCGGAUUCUGUCCCGGUUGCCCCUCUUCCAGGCCAGCUCUCUGCUGUGGCCAGGGAGUGCAGUGGAGGAUGGCCCGAGUACUUGGACCCUGCACCCCAUGGGAGACCAGGAUAAGUAUCUGGCUCCUGGCUUCGGAUCAGCACGGUGCGCCGGCUGCAGAGCACCGGCCGCGGCGGCCAUUGGAGGGUGAACCAACGGCAAAGGAAGACCUUUCUCUCUGUCUCUCUCUCUGUCCACUCUGCCUGUCAAAAAAAAUAAAUAAAUAAAAUUAAAAAAAAAAAGCCAUUACAAAAUACUGGCCAACUCAAGCAGAGCAAGAAAGAUAAUUGAGGUGAAAGAAUUCAAACUAUCUUCUUCUUUCUCUCUCUCUCUCUCUUUUUUAAAAUUUUUGUUUCUUUACUUUAAAGGCAAAGUUACAGAGAGGAAGAAGAGAGAGAGAGGGAGAGGGAGAGAAAGGGAGAGGUCUUCCAUCUGCUGGUUUACUCCUCAGAUGGCUGCAAUGGCUGGAGCUGCAUUGAUCCAAAACCAAGAGCCAGGAGCUUCUUCCAGGUCUCCCACCUAUGUGCGGGAGCCCAAGGACUUGGGCCAUCUUCUACUGCUUUCCCAGGCCAUAGCAGAGGGCUGGAUCCAAGGUGGAGCAGCUGUAACUUGAACUGGAGCCAGCACUGCAAGUGGCAGCUUUACCUGUUAUGCCACAGCGCCGGCCCCUCUUUUUCUUUUUUUUUUUUUAAAAUACUUAUUUUAUUUAUUUGAAAGAAUGAGAGAGAUAAAUAUCUUCUAUCUGCUGACUCACUCCCCAAAUGACCACAGUGGCUGUCCAUGCUAAAGCCAAGAGCCUGGAACUCCCCCAGGACUCCCAUGUGAGUCCUAGGGGCAAGCACUUGGGCCAUCUUCUGCUGCCUUCCCUGGUGCGUUUGUAGGGAACUGGGUUGAAAGUGGAGCAGCUGGGACUUGAACAAGUGCUUUGCCAUGGGAUACCAGCAUCACAGGCGGUGGCUUAUUCCGGUGAACCACUGCCCAGGCUCCUUAUGCUGUCUUAAAGCUAGGGAUCUGAGAUAUCCCAAUGUCGCUGUGUAGAAUUCCCAUAGUUUCCUAGCCUUCUGUUUGCAGGAGGGAAACUUGCCUUUUGCAGAAAUGUGGCACACACACUCUAACAUAACAUGAAAGGAAACGUUUUUGUGCCAGGAAAUUGCUCACAUGAGAUGGAACCCUUUGAAAUAAAUCUGCUGGCAGGCUGUCUCGGUCUGUUUUGUGUUGCUAUAACAAAAUAUCCGAGGCGUGGUAAUUCAUAAGGAAGAGAAAUUGAUUUGACUCAUUGUUCUGGAGAUUGAAGAGCCUGGUGCCAGCUUCCGCUCAGCUUCAGGUGGGGUCUUCUACCACAUCAUGAUGUGGCGAGAGAAGCUGCUGGCUGGGGUCUCUGUUCCUCCUCUUAUAAAGCCACUGAUGCCGUCCUGGGGCCACACCCGCAUGACGUUAUCCAGUCCUGCUUACCUCCCACAGGCCCUACCUCCGGAUGCCAUGGACACAUGAGUUGGGGGGUUCUGGGGAGCACCUUCCAGCCAGAGCACAAGCUUUUCCUGAACAUCUGAAUGAGGACUGAAACCCUGUGACACUGUGUCCGUGGCAGCCACCCUCAGCCUUUCAUGCGGAGUUGGCAGAGCCUGUCUGAAGACACAAACCGCCCUCACAGCCCCUCUUUCUGCAGCCAAAUGGAGUCCAAAGACAACGAACGCCCAGCUCAUUGAGAGAGCGCCCAUGCUGUGCUGAUGAUUUGUAGAUUUAUGGUACAUUUUAGAUCUGACUGGAGAUACACAGCACGUUUGGGAAAACAAAAAUGAGCUGUCAGUACUUCUAGGGUGUGGUUUACCUACCAAUGCUUGUCAGAGUCACGUUCAAGUUGAGAACUGGAAGGGUUGACAGUGCAACAGGGAGGGAAACCAGCUCAUUUGCAAGUUUGAUUUGUCUUUUUUUUUUUUUUUAAAGAUUUAUUUAUUUAUUUGAAAGUCAGAGUUACACAGAGAGAGAAGAGGCAGAGAGAGAGGUCUUCCAUCCGAUGGUUCACUCCCCAAUUUGCCGCAACGGCCGGAGCUGGGCUGAUUCGAAGCCAGGAGCCAGGAGCUUCUUCCGGGUCUCCCAUGCGGGUGCAGGGGCCCAAGGACUUGGGCUGUUUUCCACUGCUUUCCCAGGCCAUAGCAGAGAGCUGCAUCGGAAGAGGAGCAGCCGGAACUCUAAUUGCGCCCACAUGGGAUGCCGGUGCUUCAGGCCAGGGCGUUAACCCGCUGUGCCCCAGCGCCGGCCCCUGAUUUGUCUUUCCCUAUGACCAAGGACUGAACUUUCUCCCUCUUCACUUUUGGCUCUGUUCCUUUUCUAAAGCAAUGACCCCAUUUACAAGUAACGCUCUACUGCAUUACUUAUGAUGUCUUGAUGCUGCUGUGUGGCCUUCUACUGCCUAAGCCUCGUAAAACUCAUCCUUUGUAUUUGAAAGUUUAUUUUCUCACCUCGUGAGUACUCCCCUUAAACACGGAAACGGAAACGUGCCGUUCCCAUCUCAGCCCUGCUUGCCUGAUGUUCCCUAUCUUCCAGGAGCCGCUGCCCCUGCAUUCUUGGCCCAGUUUGAGGCUGUUCUCCAUGGGGAGUCCCGGCUGCCUGUUGUUGGGAGGCCCCUUUGACCUUGACCUCUGGAGAGAACUCAGCCAAGAAAUUAAACGGGGUCAAGCUUCUGAGCAGUGUCCAAAACACAACAGUGGGGCUUCUGUCAUCCUGAAUAAAGACCAAAAAAGCUCCUAAAAUCUACUACCCCCUUUGACACAAGUCUUAUAGGAAAUAAUGGGCUGUUGCUAUUUUUCCCUUCAUUUUUGCAAGUAAUAUCCUAGGGUGGAGAAAGUUACUUUGUUCAUACAGAAAGUGCUGGCCAUCAUCCAUCCUUGUUCCUCCUUCCCUCCCUCCUUCCUUCCCUCCCUCCUUCCUUCCCCCCCUCCCUGCAUCCAUCCAUCCUGAAUGGGAUGUUGAUGUCAUUGCAGGCAGUGGCUCAACCCCUGGUGCUGCAAACACUGGCUCCUAGGAUUCACUUUUUAAAAAGGGUUGCAGGGGCCAGCGCUGUGGCUCAGCAGAUUAAGCCGCUGCCUGCAAUGCAGGCAUCCCAUAUGAAUGCCAGUUCCAGUCCGGGCUGCUCCACUCCUGCUAGUGCACCUGGGAAAGCAGCACAAGAUGACCCAAGUGCUUGGGUCCCUGCACACGUGUAGGAGACCCGGAUGAAGCUCCUGGCUCCUGGCUUUGAAUCAGCUCAGUUUUGGCAGUUGUGGCCACAAAGGAUGGAAGAUUGAUCUGUCUCUCUCUGUAGCUCUGCCUCUCAAAUAAAGGAAGAAAUUUUAAAAAAGUUGCUCACUGGAGUUGCGAGGAAGCUUGAGUCAUCCCUGUGGCUGGUGCUGCGUUGGAAGUGUCACUGCCUGUUAGGGGUGCCCUUCGCAGACCUCUUGCUUGUGGUGUGUUCUGUCAGACAUUCCCUCAUCAUUUCAAGAGCAAAACCAGCAUUAUUUUGUAUUUUGAGUCUGAACCUGGUUUCAGUUUUAUUGCUGACACUUUCUGGGCUGUUGUACACAAUAAUGUGGAGACCGUGCACUGCCAAAAUGAGCUCAUUCAGUUAAUAGAAAACAGCAUCGGCGCUACCUGGGACAACUAAAUUACAUUGGAGAGAUGUCUAAUUAAUGAGUUCCUUUAAUCAAAAAUGUUAUUUAUAGUUUUGUUUGAGAUAGGUGUAUUGGAACCUUGUCGAGACAAUUAAAAGUGCCAUGGUAAAAGCAUACCCCUUAUGGAAAUUACUGCUCUUAUCAUUAUAAAUAACUCUGAAAAGAGCCCAGUUUAAGGGCAAAGCCUUACUAAAUUUAACAGUUACUGAGUUUUUAUAGUAAAACAGCUUAUUCUGGUUUUUUUUUCUUUUUUUAAAUUUUUUUUUGACAGGCAGAGUUAGAGAGAGAGACAGAGAGAAAGGUCUUCCUUCCGUUGGUUCACCCCCAAAAUGGUCGCCAUGGCUGGUGCACUGCGCCGAUCCGAAGCCAGGAGCCAAGUGCUUCUCCUGGUCUCCCAUGCGGUUGCAGGGCCCAAGCACUUGGGCCAUCCUCCACUGCCUUCCCGGGCCACAGCAGAGAGCUGGCCUGGAAAAGGAGCAACCGGGGCAGAACUGGCGCCCCAACUGGGACAAGAACCCGGUGUGCCAGCGCCACAGGUGGAGGAUUAGCCUAGAGAGCCGCAGCGCCAGCUUUCUUUUUCUUCUUUCUUCUUUCUUUCUUUUUCUUUUUCUCUUUCAAUAUAUUUGAAAGGCAGAGUGACAGGGAGACAGAGAAUUUCCAUUCACUGGCUCACUCCCCAAAUUCCCAUAAUGUCUGGGGCUUCAGCAGACCGAAGCCAGGAGCCCAGAACUCCAUUCAGGCUACUCACACAUGGAUGGCAGGCAUCAUCUGUCUCCCAGGGUGUGCAUUAGCAGGAAGCUGGAUCGGAAUCAGGGGUGGGACUGCACCCUAGGUACUCUGAUACAGGAAAUGGGCAUUCUGAACAUUGGCUUAACCCGUUGUGCCUCAACGCCCACUCCCUUCUGGUUUCAUUUGACAUAGCCAUACAAAUACCUUAUCUUCAAAUGUCAGACCCUUCAGUCUGAAAAUACUUGUUCUGGAACUCUCCACCCUUAGUGAUAAAAUAACUGGCAAGUCCACAGUUUAAAGACUACGCAGGGCCGGCGCCGUGGCUCACUUGGUUGAUCCUCCGCCUGCGGCGCCGGCAUCUCAUAUGGGUGCCAUUUUUAGUCCCGGUUACUCCUCUUUCAGUCCAGCUCUCUGCUGUGGCCCGGAAGGGCAGUGGAAGAUGCACCUGCAUGGGAGACCAGGAGAAGCACCUGGCUCCUGGCUUCGGAUUGGCACAGCUCCAGCCAUGGCGGCCAUUUGAGGAGUGAACCAACAGAAGGAAGACCUUUCUCUGUCUCUCACUGUCCAUAACUCUGCCUGUCAAAUAAAUUUAAAAUAAAAAAAAAAAAGACUAUGUCAAAUUAGGAGCAGGUGUUGUGCAGUGAGUUAAGUUACCACUUGUGAUGCCAGUAUCCCAUAUUAGAGUGGUGGUUCCAGCCCUGGCUGCUCCGUUUCUAACCCAGCUCCAGCUGAUGCACCACGGGAAGGCAGUGGAAGAUGGCUCCAGUGCUUGGGCCCUGCCACCUGUGUGGGAGACACAGAUGGAGUUCUGAGCCGCUGGCUUCUUCCUGGACCAGCCCUGGCAACUUAGCCCAUUUGGGAAGUGAACCAGUGGGCGGAAGAUCUCUUAUCUCUUUCUGCCUCUUCCUCUCUCUCCAUCAUUCUGCCUUUCAAGUAAGAUAAAUAUAUCUUAAAAAUAAGUAAGUAAAUAAAUUGGACAAUUUUUUGGACUUUAUCAUAUCUCAAAAUGCUGCCUAGACAGCUAUUUAGCCCCAAUGUAAUUACCAUGAGUGUGUUACAGCAGCUACUUUCAUCUAACUCUUUUCCUAUGAUCAACAUAGACAUGGCUACAGUAUCUACAAGUUAUUCAAUGGCAUGUUAAAACAGAAUUUAAAAACCCGAUUCUUUUCCUCCUGUUGUGUUUUAUAUAACAAAUCUUUGUCUUCAUUUGUGUAGUCAAGCCAAAGAUGGGCAUCAGCAAAUCCGCAUUUUUUUUUUUUUUUUUUUUUGACAGGCAGAGUUAGACAGUGAGAGAGAGAGACAGGUUCAGCCCCUAAAUGGCUGCUACGGCUGGAGCACUGCGCUGAUCUGAAGCCAGGAGCCAGGUGCUUCCUCCUGGUCUCCCAUGUGGGUGCAGGGCCCAAGCACUUGGGCCAUCCUCCACUGCACUCCUGGGCCACAGCAGAGAGCUGGCCUGGAAGAGGAACAACCGGGACAGAACUGGCGCCCCGACCAGGACUAGAACCCGGGGUGCCGGCGCCACAGGCGAAGGAUUAGCCUAGUGAGCCGUGGUGCCGGCUGCAAAUCCACAUUUCUAUCCAGCUGAAUUACAAAAUGUAAUCUUUACAGUAAUUAACCCGCUAUGUGUAGGUUUGGAUAGCAUCAGUGCUACUGACCAGCCUUUUGGUCCCAGUGAUCUCUGGGGAUGUGUGGGGAUGGUUUUGGUUGUCUCGGUACCUGAAGGUGCAGCAGGGUUUUCAUUUCCUGGAGUUGGAGAUGCUGAGUGCCUUGCAGUUGUCCUUAUAUACCAACUUGGACUUUGUCAGCUGAGGAGAGUAUAAUGAUGUUUUUGUAAACGGCUGCUCAGACUUGAACAUGCCCUUUUAAAAAGAUGUAGGGGCCAGCGUUGUGGCACAGUGGUCUAAGCUACUUGUGAUGUGCACAUACCAUUUGGGAGUGCCAGGUCAAAUCCUGACUGCUCCACUUCCAAUGCAACUUCCAGUUACUAUGCCUGGGAAAGCAGUAGAGGAUGGACCAAGUACAUGGGCCCCUGCUGCCCACGUGGGGCACCUGGAUGGGUCUCCUGGGUCUCCACUGGCUGCAGCCUAGCCUGGCCCAGCCCUAGCUGUUGUGGCCAUUUGGGGAGUGAACCAGUGGAUGGAAGAUGUCCCUCUUUGUCUCUCUCUGUCACUUUAACUUCCAAACAAAUAAAUGAAUCAUUGGAAGCUGGGUGGGAAUUGGGAAGCUGCGACGGGAACCCAGGCUUCUGAUGUGGGAUGCAGGUGUUCCAGGUGGCAUCUUAGCUGCGGUGCCACAAGGUCACCCCUGACUGCAGUCUGGUGGAAUUUGUUUUUUCCUCACUUGUAACUUGUUUUUAGAAGAUGCCGUUAAAGAACCUUCCUUCUCAGAUUUAAAUUUUGUUCCUGUGAGGUUUUUGUUUUUGACACUAAGUAGUUCAAUUUGGCAGGGAGAUCUGAGUUCCUUACUUUUGGGCUCUCUCUGUUUCAUUUCCAAAUCAUGUAAUUUGGCAGAACUAUGGAUCCGUCUUGUUAGAUUUCACCAGCUUGACGUUCACAUUGGUUUCAGCCACACAAUAGGCAGACUGGGUGGUGGAUAGUCCUGGUGCUUUCCUGCCUUCAGAGGGUACCGUGAACGUUGCAGGCACUUGCUUUCUCUCCUUUGCCUUUCUUAGUGUCCUGUAGUUUGCCAUCAGUUGGAUAUCAGAAUGGCAAAUUGGUUCUCUGCAUCACAGUCUGCUUUCCUUAUCAUCCCAUUUUAUCAUAUUUAAUUUUUUAACCAUUUAAGCCAUCAUUUCUGGCUUUACAGCUAAUUAUUUUGCUAGAUUUUUUUUUGUUGAAGCAAGAAGUAUCUAGAAGUUAGAAUAAGCCUUAAGCUUAAAUAAUCAUUACAACGUGUGUAACUUGUUUUUUUUCUUUUUGUUUAUUUUUGAAUAACACAUAAUACUUGUACUUUUUAAUGGAAUUCAUUGCAGUACUUUAACACACAUACAUGGCAUGAAUUGAUCAAAACAGCUACCUGGGGCCAGUGCUGUGGCAUAGCGGGUGAAGCCGCCGCCGGCAGUGCUGGCAUCCCAUAGGGCACAGGUUCGAGUCCCAGUUGCUCCAUUUCUGAUCCAUCUCCCUGCUAAUGCACCUUGGAAAGCAGUUGAAGAUGGCACAAAUGCUUGGGCCCUUGCACCCACUUGGGAGACCUGGAUGAAGCUCCUGUUUUCUGGCUUUGGCCUGGCCCAGCCCUGGCUGUUGGUGGCCAUUUGGGGAGUGCAUCAGCAGAUGAAAUAUCUCUGUCUCCCUCUCUCUGUAGCUCUGCCUUUCAAACAAAUAAAUAAAUCUUUAGGAAAAAAAACCCAAACAGGUACGUGACAUUUCUAUUUCCUAGUCAUUUCUUUAUGUUUGGAGCUAAAAGCUCCCCUCAGAAUAUGUAUAACUUGUUCACUUAGCACUGUUCAGCCUGCCAGGGCUUUGUGACAGGAGCAUACUCUGAGCAGAAGCACUUGGGCCUCACCUGGCAUUUGGUGCAUUUUGUUCGUGUGUGCUUUGGUAAGUCUAAUCCCUCUGUAAUUUUCUAGGAGAGACCACAUGCAAGUCCGAAUUUAAAAAGACUUAUGCAUAAUUACUACCUAUUCAGUGCCAUAUGUAUGUGCGUAUGUGUCUAUGUCAGAGAUGACUAGAACAGUUCUGUUUCAAAGCCUGCCCAACCACAAAGAAACCUGCAUGGAAGUUAAUGGGUUGGUGGUCUCCGACGUGUGCCAAGGUGGUGACUUUAAUGACAUUUUCAGAAGAGUUUAAAUAUAUCAUGGCUGCUUUCCUACCAGUUUGAGCUUUCAACCUGCCUGCUGCUAGACAUCUUGGGCUAAUCCAUCACAUUUGUUUGCUUAGAUUGCUGUGUCAGUUCCAGUGCAGACCUGGCUCCUUCUGUACCUACAUGGGGUCCACGGAAAUUUCUGGAACUCCUCCAUCCCUGCAGGAGCUGUGGGGAAAGAUAGCGCUGUCUCUAGCUCUUGUCUGGUGUGUGCAGUGGACUUCUCCACUCUCUUGCUACCUUAUGAUUCAGAGUGCUUUGUAUCACUUGACUUUCAAAAUACUCUAAAUUUGAAGCUGGAUACAGGUUCUCUUGACUUGGCAUUUCCUAGUGAAUGGCUUUCCCAUGUAGUAUUCCCUUCCACAGUGCAAGCCCCUAAGUUAUUUCCUUCUUUGAAGCUCUUCCGUGUCUUCUCUCACAGAGAGCUGAUUCUUUCCCUUCUUCCCCCUGUACCCUUCUCCUUUGGAUCUUCUAAGGAGAGGGAUGUGAGAGCUGGAAGAAAAUCUGUUCUAGUUUGUAUCUAUUUUGUUUGCAGUAUUUCAUUGUCUUAUCUGGAGAGGAGGGGAAACAAUUUCUUUUUGACUUUAAAAAAUUUGAUUUUAUUUAUUUGAGAGGCAGUUUAUUUGUUUGAAACAGAGAGAGAGAGAACGAGAGAGCAGGCAAUCUUCCAUCUGCUGGUUCUCUCAUAGAUGGCUACAACAGCCAGGGCUGGGCCAGGCUGAAGCCAGGAGCUUCAUCCAGGGCUCUCAUGUAGGUGGCAGGAGCCCAAGAACAUGUGCCAUCUUCCACUGCAAUUCCCAGGCCAUUAGCAGAGAGUUGGAUCAGUGAGUACACAAACUAGUGCCCGUUUGGGAGACGGACGUCACAGGCAGCGGCUUUAUCUGCUACGCCACAAUGCUGGCUCCAAGAGGCAGAUAUUUUUGAGUAGAUUUUUAAAUCUAAACAUGAGAUGCCUGAACAAUAGUCAGCUCUGUAAAAAUUUCAAUGAAAUAAUCUAUAAGAAAGACGAGUUUUUCAAUGUUAGAGUGAAAUGAUGUGAGAAGGCAGUUUUGGCUCUGGUCCCAGGACUGGGAACUACAGUUCUUAAAAGUCCACACAUUGUAAAGAGGUCUGCUGAACUCACUUGUCAUAUUGAAUUACUUUCAGAGAUUUUUGUAGUAAGGAGUUUUUAAAAUUUCUCCCCAGCCUUCUUGUCACAGGGACAGAACCAAAGUAUAUUACUGUUGUCCACAGCUUUAAAUUACUCUAAACCUCAACUAAGUUCAAGUUAUUAUUUUUUUUUUUGGUGUAUAAUGUCUGAUUUAUAUAUAAUGUCUGACACUCAAUCGCAGAGAACUGAUAGACACCCAGGAGGCGGGACAAUGUGACUGAAACCAAGAGAAGCAAUAAAUUGCAACACGCAGCUCACAGGGAAUACAUGUAGUAGAGUUAAUAUAAAUUUCAAAAUAACAGUGUUAAUUAUGCAUAAGCAAGUGAAAGAUCAAGAAUUUUGGAGGUGGGGGAUGAUGUUUUGUAUAGUGUAAGAAACUGCUUGGGACUCCUGCAUCCCUUAUCAGAGUGCCUGUUUCGAGUCCCAGCUCUACUUCCAAUUCCAGCUUCCUGCUAAUGUGUACCCUGGAUGGCAGCAGGUGAUGGCCCAAGUACUUGGAUUCUUUUUUUUUUUUAAUAUUUAUUUGACAGAGUUAUAGACAGUGAGAGAGAGAGAGAGAGAGAAAGGUCUUCCGUUGGUUCAGCCCCCAAAUGGCCGCUACGGCCAGCACUGUGGCAAUCUGAAGCCGGGAGCCAGGUGAUUCUUCCUGGUCUCCCAUGUGGGUGCAGGGGCCCAAGCACCUGGGCCAUCCUCCACUGCCCUUCCGGGCCACAGCAGAAAGCUGGACUGGAAGAGGAGCAACCAGGACUAGAACCCAGUGCCCAUAUAGGAUGCCAGCACCGCAGGUGGAGGAUUAACCAAGUGAGCCAUGGUGCCAGCCCAGUACUUGGAUUCUUGCCACCUAUGUGGGAGACCUGGAUGGAGUUCUUGGCUCCUGGCUUCAGCAUGCCCCAGUCCUUGCUGUUGCAGGCAUUUGCAGAGGGAGACAGACUGAUGGAAGAUCUCUCUCUCUCUCCCCCUUUCAUAUAAAUAAUAAAUAAAAAAUUUGAAAAAGAAAAGAAACCCAGGAACCAUGCCACAGGGAGCCCAGAGCACAUGGAGAGGACAACAUGAGAAUCAAAGUCAACAAACCCAGCUGAAUUCGAGGCCCACAAUCCAGUACUGAGAGAAAACAUAUUCAAUAGUUGAGCCCAUUCCAACUUUUAAUACCAGCCUCACAGGGAGUAGAAGAAUCACCUGGAUCAUCUGAGUCAAGCCAAAGAGUCAGGUAAUAAAAUGUUUUUAUUUUGAUUCACUAAGUUGUGAAGUGUUUUUUUAAAUGCUGGAAUAAAUAACAAAUCUCAGAUGACAAAGGAUAUGAGCAUAGUACUUGAUUUUAAUUUAGAAAAUGAAGUCAAGUCAUAAUCGGAAACAAUAUAAAGAUAUAUCUUUUAUUUUUAAAGAUUUAUUUGAAAGGCAGAGUUAGAGAGAGAGGUCUUCCAUCUGCUGGUUCACUCCCCAGUUGGCCGCAAUGGCCUGAGCUGGGCCAGUCCGAAGCCAGGAGCUCAUUCAGGGUCUCCCACACAGGUGCAGGGGCCCAAGGACUUGGGUCAUCUUCCACUGCUAUCCCAGGCCAUAGCAGAGAGCUGGAUCAGAAGUGGAGCAGCCGGAACUUGAAUUGCACCCAUAUGGAAUGCCGGCACUGCAGGUGGUGGCUUUACCCACUACACCACAGUACCGACCCCUCAGAAUUUAUCUUGAGCAUGGUAUCAAACCUACCUUUUUCUUUUUGAAAAAGUAGAGUGGUAAUUUUAUGGAAGCUGAUGUAGAGUUGUGGAGAAGACAUUUCUGUGACCGGUACGUAUGAAAGACUGAUAACCCUUGGGCUGGCUCUGUGGCACAGUAGGCUAGGCCUCUGCCUUUGGUGCCGGAAUCCCAUAUGGGCACUGGUUCUCGUCCUGGAUGCUCCUUUUCUGAUCCGGCACUCUGAUGUGGCCUAGGAAGGCAGUGGAGGAUGGCCUGAGUGCUUGGGCCUGUGUACCAACAUGAGACCUGGAAGAAGCUCCUGGCUCCUGGCUCCUGGCUUCAGAUCGGCCAUUUCAGCCAUGUGGGGAGUGAACCAGUAGAUGGAAGAAACUCUCUGUCUUUCCCUCUCUUUUUUUGUGAAUUUGCCUCUCAAGUAAAUAAAUAAAAUCUUAAAAAAAAAGGAAUGUCUCCUCAAAUAAAACUUCAGAACAGAAAAUACUGAUGGAAGAGGAAAAAGUGUUCAUUUAAAAAAAAAUUUUUUUUGACAGGCAGAAUGGACAGUGAGAGAGAGAGACAGAGAGAAAGGUCUUCCUUUGUCGUUGGUUCACCCUCCAAUGGCCGCUGCGGCCGGCGCACUGCGGCCGGCGCACCGCGCUGAUCCGAUGGCAGGAGCCAGGUGCUUCUCCUGGUCGCCCAUGGGGUGCAGGGCCGAAGUACUUGGGCCAUCCUCCACUGCACUCCUGGGCCAAGCAAGGAGCUGGCCUGGAAGAGGGGCAACCGGGACAGAUUCGGCGCCCCGAUUGGGACUAGAACCCGGUGUGCCAGCGCCACAAGACGGAGGAUUAGCCUAGUGAGCCGUGGCGCCGGCCUAAAAAAAAUUUUUUUUUAAAAAAGGAUUUAUUUAUACAUCUGGAAGUCAAAGUUACAGAGAGAGAGAGGGACACACACACACACACACACAUACACACACACAGAGAAAUCUUCCAUCUGCUGGUAUACUCCCCACAUGGCCACAAAGGCUGGGGCUGGGCCAGGCUGAAGCAAGGAGCCAGGAGCUUACUCCAGGUCUCCAUGUGGGUGGCAGGGGCCAAAGCACUCAGGGCAUCCUGUGCUGCCUCUCACAGGUGAUUAGCAGGGAGCCAUUUAGGGGCUGAACCAACGGAAGGAAGACCUUUCUCUCUCUCUCUCUCUCUCUCUCACUAACUAUGCCUGUCAAAAAGCAAAACAAAACAAACAAAAACAAAAAACCACCACAACAAAAACUCUUUAGAUGUGAGCAGUGGUCCAGUCUGAGCAACCCAAAAUGGAAGUCUCCAGAAAAAUCAUUCUGUUACCAUUUGAAUUGUCCUGAAGCAAGCACUCUUCUCCAAAGGGUUCUGGUGAUAGCUUCUCCAGCAGGUUUACAAGUAUGACUUCUUCUGCCCCUCUUCAAUUGCUCUGGUAAUGAUUCUGUUCCUUAGAAGCAAAACUCAUGGGAUUUAUGUCCUUUUAUUUUUAUUUAUUUUUAAAAGAUGUAUUUAUUUAUGUGAAAGUCAGGGUUACAGAGAGAGGGAGAGAGGGGGAGAGAGAGAUAGAGAGAGAGAUCUUCUGUCUGCUGGUUCAUUCCCUCAAAUGGUCAUAAUGGACAGGGCUGGGCCAGGAAGAAGCCAGGAGCCUGGAACUCCAUCUGAGUCUCCCAUGUGGGUGCAGGAGCCCAAGCAUUUGGUCCAUGUUCUGCUUUCCCAGGUGCAUUAGCAGGGGGCUGGAUCAGAAGUGGAGCAGCCAGGUCUCGAACCAGCACAAAUAUGGGAUGCCGGCAUUGCAGGUGGAGGCUUAACCCACUGUGCCACAGCACCAGGAGCCAUCCUCUGCUGCCUCUCAGGUUGCAUUUUAGCAGGAAGCUGCGUGGGAAGUGGAGGAGUGAGGACUGCAGCUCGGUGCUCUGAUGGGGGAGGUGGGCAUCCCAAGUGCUGACUUCACCAUGGUACCAGAUGCUCAUCCAGGCUUCUUAUCUCUUUAAAGUAAUUUAAAAAUAGUUACAUGUUAAAAUAUGUGAAGGGAAUUCAUUUGGCAGCAAAAAUUUUAUUUUACACGUUGAUCAAAUUAGGCCUAAAAAGAGAAAGUGGCCUUUCCACUGUCAUACCAUUGCAGCUUCUUAACAAAACGUGACAAAAUUCUAUAAUCUCAAGUUUAAGGGACACCAUGUGUCUCACAGAAAUAUUCAACUUACUUGCUGAAUGUUGCCUGUGAAGUUUAGUGGAAAAAGAUAAAUCCUUACAGGAUGAUAUGUCUAUAUUUUUUUUUAAAUUUUUAUUUUAUUUUAUUUUAUUUAUUUAUUUAUUUAUUUAUUUAUUUUUAUUUUUGACAGGCAGAGUGGACAGUGAGAGAGAGAGACAGAGAGAGAAAGGUCUUCCUUUGCCGUUGGUUCACCCUCCAAUGGCCACCGCUGCAGCCGGCGCACCGCGCUGAUCCGAUGGCAGGAGCCAGGAUCCAGGUGCUUUUCCUGGUCUCCCAUGGGGUGCAGGGCCCAAGCACCUGGGCCAUCCUCCACUGCACUCCCUGGCCAUAGCAGAGAGCUGGCCUGGAAGAGGGGCAACCGGGACAGAAUCCGGUGCCCCGACCGGGACUAGAACCCGGUGUGCCGGCGCCGCAAGGUGGAGGAUUAGCCUAUUGAGCCACGGCGCCGGCCUGAUAUGUCUAUAUUUUGGAAACUAUAUGACUUAUUAGCAUCAAAGUAAAAGGGACUGAAGUUUGAGAAAUGGUAUUUUUUGGCUUUGGUCAUUUGCCUUGGGGGAAAAAUAAGUAUUUGUGGUUGAUUUUUUUUUUGACAGGCAGAGUGGACAGUGAGAGAGAGAGACAGAGAGAAAGGUCUUCCUUUGCUGUUGGUUCACCCUCCAGUGGCCGCCGCGGCCGACGCACUGCGCUGAUCCAAUGGCAGGAGCCAGGUACUUCUCCUGGUCUCCCAUGGGGUGCAGGGCCCAAGCACUUGGGCCAUCCUCCACUGCACUCCCAGGCCACAGCAGAGAGCUGGCCUGGAAGAGGGGCAACCGGGACAGAAUCCAGUUUCCCAACCGGGACUAGAACCCGGUGUGCCGGCCCCGCAAGGCGGAAGAUUAGCCUAGUGAGCUGCGGCGCCGGCCCGGUUGAUUUCUAAUUAAGCCUAAACUAUUAGGUAGUCUGCAAAGGCCUCCUCCUUGAUUCUCUCUUAGCCUUUGAGAAUUAUAUUCCAGAAGUUUUGUUUUUCCUUGUUUAUGGGUUUAGAAACUCUUUUCACAUGAGAUCUACUUAUAUAACCCUUGUUCUGAUUCAUAAAAAGCCCAUAAACUUGAAAAUAGGACAUUUCCUUUUACAAUGUGUCACAACAUUGUUUAUCACCAUGAAAUGAGGACAUGGUUUUCCAACUGUAACCAUGGGAAGCUGAAUUCUGUUUUCUAUCAGCAAAACAUGAGAAUGCCUAAUAAACAAGGCAUUUGGGCACAGAACACAACAUCUUACAAUUCAGCAUUCCUAUGAAUUAGAAGAUCAAUCUGAUGUUUGCGUAAUCUUUUCUCUGAAAUAUAUGUGGAUUAAACAGGGAAAAUGUUAAAUUAAAAUGCAUUUUCUGUGUUGUUAACUAUUUGGACAGCUAUUUAAGAUGCUAUCAUUUCUGCUGAUCCCAUGGAAUUUUUUUGGUUCUUAUCAGGAAGAAAUGUCUCCUUUAAUUAUGUUUUAUUUUAAAAUGUCUCUUAUGAGGCAGAGAGAAAGAGAGAGAGAGAGAAAGAGACAGGCAGCUCCUAUCUCCCCAUUCUCUGAUUCACCCCCAAAAUGCCCACAAUGGCAGAGGCUGAACCAUGGUUGAAGCCAGGAGCCAGGAACACAAUCCAGGUCUCCUACAUGUCUGACAGGGGAACAAGUACUUGGGCUAUGCCUGCUACCUCCUAGGGGUAUUGGUGAGGAACUGGAAUCAGGGGCCAGAGCAGGCAUCAAAUCCAGGCACUUCAGCAUAGCAUAUGGGAGUCUUAACUCGCAGGCUAAAUGCCAUCCCUUCAAUGAUCUUGAAAGUAUUUAUUAGUGAGGCUAGCAUUGUGGCAUAGUGGAUAAAGCCACUGCCUGCAAACCAGCAUCCUAUAUGGGUUCUGGGUUGAGUUCUGGCUCCUCUACUUUUGAUCCAGCUCCCUACUAAUGUGCCUAGGAAAGCAGUAGAAGAUGGCCCAAAUUCUUGGGCCCCUGCACCCAUAUGGGAGACCAGGAAGAAGCUCCUGGCUCCUGCCUUCAGCCUGACCCAGCCCCAGUUGUGGUCAUCUGGGGAGAGAACCAGCGGAUGGAAGACCUGUCUCUUUCUCUCUAUAACUCUGCCUUUCAAAUAAGUAAAACAAAUUUUUUCUUUAAAAAAGUAUUCAUUAAUAUCAAAGUAACUUUUUUUUUGGAAAAGCAGUCACUCUCUAUUUCCCAUUCUCCUGUUUCUGGCAACCACUAAUCUACAUUCUUCUUUGUUUCUCUUUCUUCUUUUCUUUCAUUUUUAUUUACUUAAAAAGCGGAGUUACAGAGAAGGAGAGACAGAGAGGUCUUCUAUCCACUAGUUCACUCCCUAACUGGCUGUAAUGACCAGCACUGUGCCAGGAUGAAGCCAGGAACACAGAGCUUCAUCCUGGUCUCCCAUGUGGGUGGUAAGAGUCCCAGCAUUUGGGUUAUCUUCCACUGUUUUUCCCAGGCCAUCAGCAGGGAGCUGGAUUAGAAGUGGAGCAGCUAGAAUUUGAACUGGUACCCAUAUGGGAUGCCAGUGUUUCAGGCAGUGGUAUUACCAAGGAAAGCCCCCAAAGUAACUAUCUUAAUGGAAGCUUUGUUAAAAUGUCCUUAAAGAAGUUAUUCAAGGAACUCCUGGCUCCUGGCUCCUGGCUUUGGAUUGGCUUAGCUCCAGCCAUUGUGGACAUUUGGGGAGUGAAGAAACAGAUGGAAGACCUCUAGUUCUCUGCCUCUGCCUCUCUGUAACUCUGCUUUUCAAAUAAAUAAAUCUUUAAAAAAGAGAAGUUAUUCAAUAUUUGUAAGCCUUAAUAUUUCCAUUUCUAUGCUCUCUUCCAAGUGUAGAUAUUUCUUUUAUAUAAACUUAAUGUUUAUUGAUAAAAAAUUUGUUUUUUAAUUUUUUGCUUAAAAUUCUUUUCUUUAUAUGCAUACAUUUUUAAAAAACUACUAUUCCUGGGGCUGGUGUUGUGGUGUUGGCAUUCCAUGUGAGCGCCAGUUUGAGUCUUGGCUGUUUCAUUUCCACCCCAACUCCCUGCUAAUGUGUCUGGGAAGGCAGCAGAAGAUGGCCCAAGUACUUGAGUCACUGCUACACGCAUGGGAGACCAAAAUGAAGCUCUCGGCUUUGGCCUGGCUCAGUCCUGGCUGUUGUAGCCAUUUGGGGGAUGAUCUCUCCUCCUCUGUCUCCCGCUUCACUGUCUGUAACUUUGCCUUUCAAAUAAAUAAAUUGUCUUAAAAAAUCAUUUCUGGUUGCAAAAUAGUUUGUUAAAUUAGCAAACUAUGAAUUGCUUAAUUUCUCCCCCUUUUGAUGUAGACUUAUUUCUAUAAUAAGAUGUUAAGAUAAUCUCUCUAAACAUUGCUUAUUUAUUCGUUGGAAUUACAUUUACGGAACAAAUUAUCAGACUUGAUUAUUGGAGGAAAUGUCUGAAAUUUUUGUGCCUCACUAUUGCCAAAUCGCUUCAAAAAUCCGGUGUGUAGUACCCCCAGGAAAAGGUGCUCAUGCCAGCUUCUUCAAAGGGAAGUUAAAUGUUUAGUUUUUGCUUAUAUUAUUCUUAGUUUGCUUUUAGCAAAAACUCUUAGGUUAGUAUUUGCCAUAUUUAAGAUUUAUCUAUUCAUUUGAAAGGCACAGUGACAGCGAGAGACAGAGACAGUGAUGGAGAGACAGAGAGAGAGGUCCUGCAUCUGCUGGUUCACUCCCCAAAUGGCAAGUACUCUAAAGGUUGUGAUGGCCACUUCUCAAGCAGGUUUACAAACAUGACUUCAUCUGCUCCUCUUCAGUUUCUCUGAUAACUGUCUUAUUCCUUACAAACAAAAUUCACAGGAUUUAUCAUCUUUUAUUUAUUUUUUCAAGAUUUAUUUAUUUAUUUGAAAGUCUGCGUUCCAGAGAAGGGGGAGGGGAGGGAGAAGGGGGAGGCGUGGAGGGAGACAGAGGGAAUUUUCUGUUCCCUGAUUUACUAGCUUAAUUGGCUGCAAUGGUAGGACUGGGCCAGACUGAAUUCUAUCAGGUCUCCCACGAGGGUGCAGGGUCCAAGCACUUGGGCCACCUUCCACUGCUUUCCCAGGUGCAUCAGCAGGGACCUGGAGCAGCACUGAGGCAGCCAGGACUGCAAAUGUUGGGCAUCGGAACUUGAACCAUUGUGCAUAUGAGAUGCUGAUCUCACAGGAGGUGGCCUAAUCUUCUGUGCCACAAUGUUGGCCCCUGAAGAAUUUUUUCCCUAGCAGUCUAGACAAUGAAAAUGAAAAUAUGGGUGUUUAAUUGUAGCUUUUAGAAUUUCAUUAUAAAAUCCUAUGAAAAGGUCAUUGCAGAAUUUAAUAUAGCCAUAUGGUGUUACUGUGCUGUGGCUUGUGGGUGGUGAGGAAAGAAUGGGAAAUAAAAUACGUAUCUUUGCCCUUAAGCUGUGUACUGUUGAAUGCGUGUUAUCAGUUAUGAAAUAUUUCAGCAAACCCAAAAUGCAUUAUUUUAUGCAUACUAUUUAGAAAGGAGUUAAAAUCAGACAGAGUCUGUCAGAGUUCCCAAGUCUGUCCAUUUCAAGAGUUUGGCAUGUUCGCCUUGCUUGUCUUCCCUCUUCUUUCCACAGAGAGAAUGGGAGAAAUCUUGAGACGCAGAAAAAUGAUUUUUUUCCAAUUCCAUCUAAUAAACAAUCCCUUUCCCAGUGACCAAUCCGUAUCCGACAUAGAAUCUCCAUAUAUAAAUGGACCUGUCUCUGGCAGAUCACCAUGUAUAACACGAGGCCUCCAACUUUCCCACAGUUUCCAUGACAGCUGCAACCAUCGGUAAAGAAGACAAAGAAGGAAUGGUGGAGAAAGCCCACACCCUGUCAACAGCCUGAGCUGGGGCCCGUGGCGCUGCGACUGGGAAACUCAUCAGGUGAGCCCGCAUAGGGUUCAGCGUCUGGUGGAUCGGGCCCGUGGGACUUCGUAAAGCUGAGCGCCAAGGGUUGGAGAAUGCGGCAAAGUGGGAUCGUAUUCCGUGCUAGUCAGUUAAAGGAGAAAAACCACGCUGGGGAAAACCGAGAAGGCAGUGGAUGGGUUACACAGAAACUUCUGGGAUAUUCCGAGAAUGUUAUGGGUUAAGGGGAUUUUGUGAACUUUUGCUUGGGCAGCUAGUGAUUAUUCCUAUGAGAAAAUGGAUCCCAGGGUCCGACUCAGGAUAUCUGGAACAUGUCUAUCUCCCUUGGUCACAAUUCCAGUAGGAUUCACAGUAAAUUCACUCUCUCUUUCCUCUGAUCUCAGAGAUAGUGCUAGGCCCUCUCUAAGCUGAGGUUCCACAGAAAGAAAUAAGAACAAGCCUGUGCCAGAACAUGUGGUGGAUUAGAGUGUUGAUUUUUAUCCCCAUGGAGAAAAGGAUUUUACAAAAGUGAGAGUAAGAUCUCUGGUGCCAGGGUCAUAUCCAUACAUAUCUUUAUGGGAAGCAGAAAAAAAAAAAGUCUGAAAAUAGUGGGAACAGAGCCCAGAGUCUGAGACUUGGUGGGAAAGCAGGCCAGAGCUGCCCUCUGCGCAUGAGCCUUGACUUCCUCCUGUGCUUGUCUGGUGUGCGAAUGCCUGAUAAUAUCCCCACAGCCUGGACUCUCUUCCAAGCUCGCCUGGCAUGAGACACAACGCUGACGGAGUGUCCCACUGCCUUUCUGUUCUGGGGAUGGGUGGGACUGACCUGAUGCUCAGGCAUUCUCUGUGAGCUCAAGGAAUGAGUGGGGCUAAGCUCGGACAGCAAUGGACAAGUCAUAUCUGUGCAGUUAGAGGACAUUGCUUUUCACUGAUUUAACCGGUUACAACAUGAGACUAAAUAUUCGAUCUGUCUGUACAGAUCUGGUUCAGAAACAUCUGAAAAUGUACUGUAAGUGGCUAAACAGUUCUCUAUGGCUGUUGCCAGAGGCAAUAAUUUUGUGCUGGAAAUAUAAAUAUGUAAGUAUACCAGGGAACUUUAACACGUCCGUGCAAAAUGGAAUUAAUUUAAAAAGAUAAGUUUAUUUUGAUGCAAAAAAUUGAGUUCAUGGAUUUCAACUUUUUUUUUCUGCAUCAAAAAAAAAACUUUUAAUUUCAUUUUCCAGGAAAUACAUAGAAAUGAAAGUAUUAGGUGCUGUAGAAAAGCAGAAAGAUAACGUAUCCAUUGCUAUUCUCUCUUUCUCUUCUCCAAUUUUCUCUUUUUAAAAAAAUAAUUUAACAGACACGUUAAAGACAUAUUUAAAUGACUGGUAUAAUGAGGUUCAUGUUUAGAAUUUCACAGUUAGGAUGCUCAGUUGGCCUGCAUUGUUUAUUUGUAAUUUCAAAAUGAGGGCAUGUGGGAGCCAUUGGCAGAAAAGGUGUCUGUUUACAAGUGAAAUAAGACAGAAGCAGAGGGAAGGGGUUUAGUCAGCUGCCCCACUAAUGUCAGUUGUACCAUCUUUUCUCAUCUUACUGCUGACAAGUGCAUUUGUGAGGAAGAAAUGGAAAGUAUAGAAUCGAAUAAAUUAGGGAUAAAUUAGUUCUGUCUCUGAAAGUGUGUGUUACACCCCAGGUUUUCAGAAACAGGGACCUUCACCGUGAUCAGCUAGGCUCAAGUUCUGUUGAGAAAUGCUCAAGAUCAUUUUCCUACUCUCCACUGAAAAAUAAUAAUCAAUUAAAAAACGUUGUGCUAGCAAAAAGCCAAAUAAUUGUAUUUUUAACAGAGCAUUAUAAAAAUGAUUAGAUAUUUUUCACUAGAAGACAUGCACUUGGCCAACAGGUAUAUGAGAAAAGGCUCCGUCAGCAUCAUUAGCCAUCAGGGAAAUGCAAAUCAAAAGCAGAACGAGAUAUUAUCUCUCCUCUGUUAGAGUGGCUGUUAUCAAAAAGGCAGAAAUAGCAAAUGCUGGCAAGAUGCUGAGAAAGGGGAACUCUGAACUCUGUUGGUGGGAAUGUAAAUGAGAAUAGCCAUUCUGGAAAAGAGCAUAAAAGUUCCUCAAAAAACUAGGAAUACAACUACUAUAUGAUUUAGCACUUCCUCUACUGGGUAUACCUGGGUAUGCACAAGGACUUCAAAAAGUUCAUGGAAAAAUGAAAUUAAAACAUUAUUAAAUUAAAUUAAUUAAAAGUUUAUUUUACUGGCAAAAAAUUGAAAUCCAUGCAUAUAAGGUGUAUUUAAAAAUGUUAAUAUAAAAUGUAUACUAUGAAAAAACUAUGCACAGAUUUCCAAAUAUUUUGCACCAAAAACAAACAUCUUUUUUUUUUUUUUUUUUAAAUACAGGCAGAGUGGACAGUGAGAGAGAGAGACAGAGAGAAAGGUCUUCCUUUGCUGUUGGUUCACCCUCCAAUGGCUGCUGCGGCCGGUGCGCUGCGGCCGGCGCAUCAUGCUGAUCCGAAGGCAGGAGCCAGGUGCUUCUCCUGGUCUCCCAUGGGGUGCAGGGCCCAAGGACUUGGGCCAUCCUCCACUGCACUCCCUGGCCACAGCAGAGAGCUGGCCUGGAAGAGGGGCAACCGGGACAGAAUCCGGUGCCCCGACCGGGACUAGAACCCGGUAUGCUGGCGCUGCAAGGCGGAGGAUUAGCCUAUUGAGCCGCGGCACCAGCACAAACAUCUUUUAAUUCUAUUUUCCAUAAACUUCUAGAAGUCAUCUCAUAUAUGCAAUUAUUGUUUGUCAAUUAAAAAAAGUGGUGUGGUUUAGUUUGGACUCCCAGCAUGUCUGCUACCGAUGACUGAUUACCAAACACAUUCCAACUUCUGUCUCCACAAAUUAUUUCUCCCUCUCUCAUCCAUUCAGCCUACAGCCUACACCAGAGAUCUUCUACACUGUAGGUCAUGACCAUGGCUUACACCUUUCUUGAAAUUUUAAUAAUGGCUGUCCUGUAUUACUUCUAGAGGAGAUUAAACACCGUGGACUGUUGGCUGAGCCACUCUUAAAGUUUCCAUGUAUACUUGUGUAUGUAUUUUGGCUCAGACUCUGAACCUGAAGAGGGGCUGGCCCUGUGGCAUGGCCAGUUAAGCCACCGCCUGCAACACUGGCAUGCCUUAUGGGCACAGGUUAGACUCUUGGCUGUUCCACUUUCUUUUUUUUUUUUUUUUUUUUACAGGCAGAGUGGACAGUGAGAGAGAGAGACAGAGAGAAAGGUCUUCCUUUGCCGUUGGUUCACCCUCCAAUGGCUGCCGCGGCCAGCGCGCUGCGACCGGCGCACCACGCUGAUCCGAUGGCAGGAGCCAGGAGCCAGGUGCUUUUCCUGGUCUCCCAUGGGGUGCAGGGCCCAAGCACCUGGACCAUCCUCCACUGCACUCCCUGGCCACAGCAGAGGGCUGGCCUGGAAGAGGGGCAACCGGGACAGAAUCCGGCGCCCCGACUGGGACUAGAACCCGGUGUGCCGGCGCCGCUAGGCGGGGGAUUAGCCUAGUGAGCCGCGGCGCCGGCUUGUUCCACUUUCAAUCCAGUUCCCUGCUAAUGUGCCUGGGAAAGCAGAAGCGGAAGAUGGCCCAAGAGCUUGUGCCCCAGCACCCAUGUGGGAGAUCUGGAAGAAGCUUCUGUCUUUGGCCUGACCAGGCUUCCAGGUGUUGCAGCCAUCUGGGGAGUGAACCAGUGAAUGAAAGACCUUUCUCUUUAUCUCCCUCUCUGUAACUCUGCCUUUCAAAUUAAAAAAAAAUUUUUUAAAUAUUUAUUUAUUUAUUUGAAAGGCAGAGUUACACAGAGAGAGAAGAAGAGGCAGAGAGUGAGAGACAGGUCUUCCAUACACUGGUUCAUUCCCCAGUUGGCCGCAAUGGCUGGAGUUGAGCCGAUCCGAAGCCAGGAGCUAGAAGCCUCGUCUGGGUCUCCUAUGUGGGUACAGGAGUCCAAGGACUUGGGCCAUCUUCUACUGCUUUCCUGGGCUAUAGCAGAGAGCUGGAUCGGAAAUGGUGCAGGGAGGUCUUGAACUGGCGCCCAUAUGGGAUGGUGGUGGCUUAACCUGCUACACCACAGCACCAGCCCCAAAUUAAAUAAAUCUUAAAAAAAAAAAAAAGAACUUGCAGAAUUUGACCAAAAAUUGGAUAUCUGCUAUUUUGAAAAACUAGGGACAAGUGUUUGGCAAAUCAGUUAUUAUGCCACUUGGGUAGAGGGGCUGGCAUUGUCCCAGCUGCUUACUUCCAAUCCAGCUCCCUGCUGCUGGCCUGGGAAAAGCAGCCGAAGAUGGCCCUGGUACUUGGAACCCUGCCACCCAUGUGGGAGACCCGGAUGAAGCUCCUGGCUCCUGGCUUUGGCCUGGCCAAGCCCUGUCCAUUGUAGCAAUCUGGGGAGUGAACCAGCAGAAGGAAAAUUUCUCUCUGUCUCUCCCUGUUGGAAACUCUUUCAAAUGAUAAAUAAAAAAAAUUUUUUUUUUUUAAAAAAGGAUGCCAUUUAGGACAUUCCAUAUUAGAGUGUCUGGGUUCUAGUCCCAGCUCUGCUUCCAUUUCCAGCUUCUGCUGAUGCAUGCUGUGAGAGUCAGCGGGUGAUGAUUCAAGUAUGUGGGUCCCUGCCACCCACACGGGAAACCCAGGUUGAGAUCCAGGCUGCUGGCUUUGACCUGGCCUAGCCUGAUUGUUGUGGGCAUUUGAAGAGUGAACCAGUGGUUAAAGAUCUCUCUUUGUCCCUGUCAUUCUGCCUUUCAAAUUAAUUUUAAAAAAUGAAAUAAUAUGUAAGCAGUAAAACACUGGAAGUCCGGGCAACAUCAGCAUUACAUCUUUACAUAAAAAUAAUUAAACUUUCACUUAGAUGGGUGCUGUUUCUCCAGUUUCCUACAGUGUCCAAUACUUCCUUUUUUCUCAUUUUUCCUAAUUUAAUUUUGCUCAUUUUCAUGUCCUGGACAUUUCUACACAUUGAAAAUUCUUAGAGUAUGAGCUCAAGUCCAGCUCCUUAGCCUUGUACAUAAGACUUAUCUGAUUCAGACUUUUUUUUAAAAAAAUAUUUAUUUAUUUAUUUGCAAGCCAGAGUUACAGAGAGGCAGAGGCAGAAAGAGAGAGAGAGAGAGACAGACAGAGACAGAGACAGAGACAGAGAGAGAAAAUCUUUCAUCCGCUGAUUUACUCCUCGGAUGGCUGCAGUGCAGUGGCUGGAGCUGCGCCCAUCUGAAGCCAGGAGCCAGGAGCUUCCUCCUGGUCUUCCACAUGGGCACAGGACUUGGGCUACUUUCUGCUGCUUUUCCCAGGCCAUCGCAGAGAGCUGGACUGGAAGUGGAGCAGCUGGGACUUGAACGGACACCCAUAUGGGAUGUCAUUACUGCAGUUGGUGGCUUUACCUGCUACGCCACAGUGCCAGCCCUUGAUUCAUACUUUAAAUGCUCAUUUCUCUUUUCUUGGACUUUAUACUGGAAAAUUACAACCGCCCCAAGACACUGUCAUUUAACCAUUGGGACAGCAUUCUGUCUAUGUGAAAAGCCUCCUCCACUGUGAUGGUUUGGAUGUUAGUUUGGGUGUCCACCAAAGACCCAUGUGUUCAUGGCUUGGUUCCCAGGGUGGCACCAUUGGGAGAUGGAGCCUUUCAGAGGUGCUAGAAAUGGGGAGUCCUCAGGCCAGUGAAUUUAGUUCCCAUGGAAGGGUUGUUAGAAAAGCCUGAGUUUGGCCUCACCCAGUGUUUCUCUACUUCCUGCUUCCCCAUGUGUUCUUCCUCUGCAUGUAUUCUGCAAACUGCCAGGGGGCCCUUGCUGGAGCCUACAUCAUGUCGCUUGGAUUGUCAGCCACCACAAUGUGAGCCCAAUGAGCCUCUCUUUCCUUCAUAAGUAGACUUUUUUUCCUUCUGGAAAGUGAUUCCUGAUUUCCUUAGAGUUAACAAUUCUGUCCUUUUUAUUUUUUUCACAUUUUUAUCUGAGCAUUGACCUUACUCCAUUAUUGGUUAUAUUACUCUAUAAUUUACUUAUUUGAGUAAAAUAAAGGGAAAUUUUCUUUUAUGAGCAUCAGGCAUGAAACUCCUUGUGGGCAGAUCAAGCCUUUGAAGAGUAGUAGCUUUAAUGAACUUGCUCAGGAGCUAAAACUGAGCCUCCAGGGCUGGAGUUUGAGUUCUCCCAGGAGUCAGAGAACCAAGAGGGGCCUUGUUGUAGGAAUUAUUGUUAGGGGGUGGUAGAUAGGAGUGUAUAGGGUAGGGCUGGGGGAUAAAAUUCAGAGAGGAGACUGGAAAGAACUGGAAAGGGAGAGAGGAAAUUCAAAUGCAAGAUUUUAAAAGUAAAAUCCACCAGGAAAAUGAAUAGGUCAUUGAAAAGAAUUAAAAGAGGCUGACUCUGCAGACUGGAGCAGGAGGGAAAAGCAGGUAGGGUGAGGGAGUUGCUCUUCACUGUCAGUCUUCUGGAGGUUUGUGUCUUUUUUUUUUUUUUUUAAGAUUUGUUUAUUUGAAAGAUUACAGAGAGGGAAAGAGAGAGAGAUGGACACACACACACACACACACACACAGAAUCUUCUAUCUGCUGGUUCCCUCCUGAAGUGGCCACAACAGUCAGAGCUGGGCAGGAGCCAGGGACUUCUUCCAGGUGUCUCACGUGGCUGCAGGGGCCCAAGCACUUGUUCCUCCUCCACUGCUCCUCCAGGCCAUUAGCAGGGAGCUGGAUUGGGAGCAGAACAGCUGGGAAUCAAACCUGUGCCCCUAUAGGAUGCCGGCAUUGCAGGCAGUGGCUCAACCCCCUACACCACAACAUCAGCCCUGCAGGCUUGUAUCUUAAACAGUGAAAUGCCGAUGAUAAGGUUGAUAAAUUAUUUAAAAAUUAUACUUAGUUGGCCGGCGCCACAGCUCACUAGGCUAAUCCUCCGCCUAUGGUGCCGGCACACCGGGUUCUAGUCCCGGUCGGGGCACUGGAUUCUGUCCCGGUUGCCCCUCUUCCAGGCUAGCUCUCUGCUGUGGCCCGGGAGUGCAGUGGAGGAUGGCCCAAGUACUUGGGCCCUGCACCUGCCUGGGAUAUCAGGAGGAAGCACCUGGCUCCUGGCUUCGGAUCAGUGCGGUGCGCCGGCUGCAGCGCGUCGGCCGCAGCAGGCAUUGGGGGGUGAACCAACGGAAAAGGAAGACCUUUCUCUCUGUCUCUCUCUCUCAUUGUCCACUCUGCCUGUAAAAAAAAAAAAAAAAUUAUACUUAGGAAAACUUAAAUCUAACAAUCAGUUGUGUGUGUAAUGUGAUUCUCUUCCACGGUCACAUAAACGCCCUCAUUAAUGACCAAAGUUGGAGUGAUUGUUUUUCUCUUGGAAACAAAUAGGAAAGCUGGGUUCAGAGUCCAGGCAGCCUCUGUAUGUGUUGGUUCUGCACCUGUGGAUUCAAUCAAUAGCAGACAAAAACAUAUUUAGAAAAGAUAUUGUAACUGUACUGCUGUGGUUUGACUAUUUGUACCCCCAAACUCAGGAGUUCAGUCCCUGAAGUCUUACGUUAAUGGUACUGAAAAAAUGGAAAUUUAAUCCAAUUAAGGUGUUUAAAGGUGAGGCCCUCAGGAAGUGAUCAUUUGUAUUAAAUCAUUAGGGCAGAGACCCCAUGAUUUUUUUGUAUUAAUUAAUUUUUUAAGGAAUACAAAUUUCAUAAGUAGAACUUUAGGAAUAUAGUUAUUCUUCCCACCAUACCCACCUCCCCACCCAAAAGCCCACUCCUCUUUCUCCUCCCUCUCCCCUUCCCAGUCCCAUUUUCCAUUAAGAUUAAUUUCAAUUAACUUUGUACAGAAGAUCAACUCUAUACUAAGUAAAGAUUUCAACAAUUUGGACACAAACACACACCAAAAAAACCCCUGAGAACUAGUUUUACAAUUAACUCUCAUAAUACAGCUCAUUGAGGAUAGAAGUCCUGCAUGGGAAGUAAGUACACAGUGACUCCUGUUGUUAAUUUAACAAUUUUAGGUAUGAUGUCAGUGACCAUCUGAGGCUCUUGACAUGAGCUGCCCAGGCUAUGGAAGCCUUUAUUUUUUUAUUUGACAGAUAGAGUUAGACAGUGAGAGAGAGAGACAGACAUAGAGAAAGGUCUUCCCUCCAUUGGCUCAUCCCCCAAAUGGCCGGUAUGGCCUGCACCGCGCCGAUCUGAAGCCAGGAGCCAGGUGCUUCUUCCUGGUCUUCCAUGCUAGUGCAGGGGCCCAAGCACUUGGGCCAUCCUCCACUGCCCUCCUGGGCCACAGCAGAGAGCUGGACUGGAAGAGGAGCAACCGGGACUAGAACCGGCACCCAAAUGGGAUGCCAGCGCCGCAGGCAGAGGAUUAACCAAGUGAGCCAUGGCGCUGGCCCUAUGGAAGGCUUUUGAGUCCUCAAACUCUGUGUUUGGACAAGGCCAUAAACAAAGUGGAAGUUCUCUCCUCCCUUUAGAGAAAAGUACCUGCUUCUUUGAUGGCCCCUUCUUUCUGCUGGGAUCUCACUCACAGAGAUCCUUAUUACUGGUUUUCAUUCCCCAGUUUAUUGUACCUUUUGUAGGGUGUUUCAGACUUCUGCUCUCUGUUCUCUUUCCCUGUAUCUGUUAUCAAUAGGAUGUUGGAUUUCCUGGACUGGUCUUUGAUGUCUUUUUUUACAGACACACUUUUUUCUUUCCUUGGUUUUCCACUAUGGAAGAUUUUCUCAACUUUAUUUUCCAAUCCUUCUAUUGACUAUUAUGGUAAGCUAAAUAAUGGUACCUAGAGAUAACAACUUUGUGGUCCUGAAACUUGUAAAUAUUACCUUUUAUGGCAAAAGGGUUGAUACUCCCUUAAGGGGCAAAUGUGUGAUUAAGUUAAGGAUCAUUAGCUGGAGAGAUUACCCUGGAUUAUCUGGGUGAACUAUAGAAUUUUAUUUGUUAAAUUGAGAGGCAGGGAGACAGGGGUGGGGGAGGAAGGGAGGAGGAGGAGGAAGAAGAGGAAGAAGGAGAGAGAGAGAGAGAGAGAGAGAGAGAGAGAGAGAGAGAGAGAGAGAGAGAGAGAGAAAAUUCCAUUGCUGGUUCACUUCCCAGAUGCCUGCAAUGGUCCUACUGGGAGCAAAGUUGGAAGCCAAGAAAUCAAAUCAGGUGUCCCCUGUGGGGGGCAGAAACCCAGUUACUUGAGCUCUCAUUGCUGCUUCCCAGGGUCUAGGAGACAGAACAGGGAAUUGAACCCUGGUUCUCUGCUGUGGGAUGCAGGUGUCUUCACUGAUGUCUUAAGAACUAGGCUAAAUAUCUGCUCCUGGAUAGUCUGUAAAUGCAAUAAAAGCAUCCAUAGAAGGGAAGAAGGCCAUGAUGUGGCAGCAAAAGGAAGCAGAGUCACAGAGAAGUUACCCAUAGGCAUUGAAAGUCGAGGAAGGGGCUGUGAGCUAAGGAAUGCAAGGAGCACACCUCAGAAACUAGAAAAGGCCAGGAAAGGCAUCUCUUCUAGAGGCCCUGGAGAGAGCAAAGCUGUGCUGUCACGUGGCUGUAGCUCAGUGAUCCUGAUUUCAGACUUCUGGCCUCUGGAACUAUGAGUGAAUAGUUGCUUUUAAGCCAUUAAAUUUGUGGCAUGGUAUCACAGAACCUGUAAGAAAUGUAUACGGAUGACAAAAAUGCACAUGAAAAGAUGUCCCGUAUCGUGAGUCAUGCAUCAAGUGCAAAUUAGGACACCGUGGAGUAACUCUAUAGGGACUGGCACUUAGACCAGUGGAUAAGGUGCCAGCUGGGAUGCUUGCAUUCCCCAACAGAGUGCCUGAGCUUGAGCCCUGGCCCUGCUUCUGAUUCCAACUUCCUGCUAACGUACAUCCUGGGAGAUGGCACAUGAUGGCUCAAGUACUUGGGUCCCUGCCAUCCAUGUGGGAGACUUGGGUGUAUAGUGGUAUUUGUUUUAGAAAUUAAAAAAAAAUUAAAUUUUAUUUUAAAUGGAGAGACAGAGAUAGAAAGAAAAAAGAGAGUGAAUGUAAGCUCUUUCACCUACUGGUUUAUUUCCUAAAUAUCCAUAACAUCCGGGGCUGGGCCAGGCCAAAGCCAGGAGCCUGGAAGUCAUUCCAGGUCUCCCAUGUGAGUGGCCUCUGGGGAGUAGUUAUGAAAAGAUCCUAGUUAAUACCUUGAAGGGCCUGAGCUGAGACUGGUUGGAGGUUGCCCAAACACCCAAGCAGGAAGCAGCUAUUGUGGCUAGGGCUAAGUGCCACUGACAGGAACACUAUAUACAAAAAGGUAGAAGGAAGAAGAGAGUUUCUGGUCUCCCCAUCCUGCCCCAAUCUCUCUGUACCACAAAACUUAACAGGAAGCUGGCUGGCAAAGGAGCUUGGGAAAUGUACUUUGUGGGGUCCCUGUUCCAGCAACAUUGAAACGAGGAAUGAAUUUGGAGUUGAGAGAAGAUAGCCAUACAGGGGCACAAAGGACCUAACAUGGACCUGUAUUUCCUUUUUUUUUUUUUUUUUAAGAUUUAUUUUUAUUCAUUUGAAAGACAGAGUUACAGAGAGAGGUAGAGACACACACAGAGAGAGAGGUAUUCCAUCCACUGGUUCACUCUCCAAAUGGCUGGAGCUGUGCCAAUCCAAAGUCAGGAGCCAGGAGCUUCCUCUGGGUCUCCCAUGUGGGUGCAGGGGCCCAAGGACCUGGGCCAUCUUCUACCUUUCUCAGGCCAUAGCAGAGAGUUGGAUUGGAAGAGGAGCAGCCAGGACUAGAACUGGUGCCCAUAUAGGAUGCCAGUUCUUCAGGCCAGGGCUUUAACCUGCUGCAGCACAGCACAGUCCCGUAUGAACCUGUAUUUCUAGGCAAGCUCUUUCUUGAGGGUUCCAGAUUUGUGCUCCUGAUUGUCAGCCGUCACCUUUGCAUGUCACUCGUGAGGAUAUCCGAGGCAAACAGAAAAUUGCCUACUGUGCACAAACCAGUUUUCUCACAUCUCAUUUUACCCCCAGAAUACUUCAUGUCAACUUUGGAUUCAGUGUAGGAACUAGCGGCAGUGUUGUUUUCCAGAGGGAAGAUAUUGGCCCAAGCAGAAUGGCUCAUAUGUCCGUCAAGAGUUCUCUUCUUCAUGGGUCUUCCUAUCCCCGUAAAGGACAGCGUUGCUGAGCCACCGGAGUCCAACUCAGGAGUUUGUCUCACAACUGGUUCUCCCCCAACACGACCUCGCAGCCACUGACUAGUCCCAGUUUUGCCCCUUACCAUCUCUUAAUUGCAGUUGCUCUCCUAAGUUGCCUUCAUUGUUGUCUCAGCUGGCCUCUGAUCAAGUCUUCCAAGGACACUGCAAUUACUCCCUAGUUGGUCCUCCAACCAUGGAUUUAUCCUUCUUCUACCCAUUCUGUUUUUUUUUUUUUUUAAAGAUUUAUUUAUUUAUUUGAAAGUCAGAGUUACACAGAGAGAGAGGCAGAGGGGAGAGAGAGAGAGAGAGAGAGUGCGAGUGAGUGAGCUUCCAUCCACUGGUUCACUCUGCAAUUGGUGGCAAUGGCUGGAGCUGGGCUGAUCUGAAGCCAGGCGAUAGGAGCUUCCUCCAGGUCUCCCAUGUGGGUGUAGGGUCCCAAGGACUUGGGUAUCUUCUACUGCUUUCCCAGGCCAUAGCAGCGAGCAGGAUAGGAAGUGGAGCAGCUAGGACUCGAACCAGCGCCCAUAUGGGAUGCCGGCACUACAAGCCACGGCUUUACCCACUACACCACAGCGCCGGCCCCUACCCAUUCUGGGUUUUUUUUUUUUUUUUGACAGGUAGAGUUAUAGACAGUGAGAGGGAGAGAGACAGAGAGAAAGGUCUUCCCUCUGUUAGUUCAUUUCCCAAAUGACCGCCAUGGCCAGUGCGCUGCGCCGAUCCGAAGCCAGGAGCCAGGUGCUUCUUCCUGGUCUCCCAUGUGAGUGCAGGGGCCCAAGCACUUGGGCCAACCUCCACUGCCUUCCCAGGCCACAGCAGAGAGCUGGACUGGAAGAGGAGCAACCGGGACUAGAACCAGCACCCAUAUGGGAUGCCAGCGCUGCAGGUGGAGGAUUAACUGAGCCAUGGCGCUGACCCCACCCAUUCUGUUUUGAUAACUGGAGGGAUUUUUAAAAUUAUGCAAAUCUGAGAUCAGUGUCGUGAGAAAGCAUCAUUCAGCAAGUAGCAGUGACCAAUGCAGGAAGGAAAGAGGCACGCAUGUGCUGACGAAUGUGUUUGAGACCAUUGAAUUGAUAUUUUGUGCAAGGGUUAAAGGGUGGCUUGGAGCAGUGUAGCUAAAAGAUUGAUCUUGACUCUUAGAAAUACAGGAGGUGAGAUAAAGGGAAAAAUGAGGUAAAGCUUGGAAAGAGAAGAGAGAAAAACAAAAUUAGAAUCAUAACUUUUAUUUCUAACGAGUUGGCAAGCAGCAGAAUUUUUACAUUAACGUGAAGGAAAUUAUUUUUAUAAAUCCCAGAAGUGUCUAUAACAAUUCUUUAAAAAAGAUGCAAAGAGAAAAAACCUAGUUGCUAUUGUAAAGGAGAAGAAAAAAUGUAAAAGUGGGGAAUGAAGUUAUGGUUCCUUUUUGAAGUUCAGGAGAAGACCAAAGAGCUACAAAGAUUUUUGCAGAAUUGGUGUGUGUGUGUGUGUGUGUGUGUGUGUGAAUGGAUUUAAUAUUAAGAGAGGCAGAACCGUUUUCAUGAGCUUGGCAUGGCAGUUACUGACAUCUGCAAAAUGAGUCUGGAACAAGAAUAGUGGAGACCUGGCUGGAGGCGUAACAUGUAGAUUAUGAAUUAAGUUUGCUUUCUAAAUGAUUAAGUCUGGUGCCACCUCUGUUUUGGAAAGAAGAUAAUUAAAAAUAAUGUGAGGAAAUCAUGGAAAUUGACAGCUGAUAUAAGACAGUGGCAUCACACGUCACCUUAUUAGGAAUAACCGUAACUGAGCUUGUUACAAAGCAAAGCAAACCAAACCAACGGAGUCAAAGCCUCAUUUCCUGAGGUGGGAAGUUUGUCUUUUAAAGCAGAGAGAAGGUUUAUGAGAAAGAGACUGUAAAUCUAUUCAAAAUUAUAUUGCUCUGUGCUAAAAGCAUUUGAAGAUGAUGGUGAUAGGAAUGAUAAGAAAGUGGCUAACAGAAAAUAGAUGUUUCAUUAUGAUAUGGAAAAAAGUGUGAAGGUAUUUUAGAGUUUGUGGACAAUAAAAUUAACAGAUUAGUAUAUUUUAGUGUCAAAAGCUUUGAAAUCCAUCCUUAUGAGGAUUCUUCAAAAAUUCAUAGGGAAUACAUGUUAUAAAAAAACUAUGUGGCUGGCGCCGCGGCUCAAUAGGCUAAUCCUCCGCCUUGCGGUGCCGGCACACCAGGUUCUAGUCCUGGUCAGGGCGCCGGAUUCUGUCCCGGUCACCACUCUUCCAGGCCAGCUCUCUGCUGUGGCCCGGGAGUGCAGUGGAGGAUGGCCCAAGUGCUUGGGCCCUGCACCCGCAUGGGAGACCAGGAGGAAGCACCUGGUCCUGGCUUCGGACUGGCGCGGUGCGCCGGCUGCAGCAGCCAUUGGAGGGUGAACCAACAGCAAAGGAAGACCUUUCUCUCUGUCUCUCUCUCUCACUGUCCACUCUGCCUGUCAAAAAAAAAAUUUUUUUUAAAGCUUUUUACUUAGAGAAACGCAUAGGAGAGUGAGGGCUCUGUGUGAAAGCGAGAGGGAAGUCUGGAUUCAUAGCAAACAUCAGGAGCCAGCCAUGAGGAGCAUGUAGGCCAGAAGGCAGGGGGCAGGUGGCCUGAAGGCCACGUGCCCCAGAGGCACAGGGGCAGCAGGGGCCCGCAAUGGUGAAAGAGGCAAAAAAAAAAAAAAAAUAAAAAUAAACUUUUUUUUAAUCCCAUUUUCUGACAAAUGUUUUGAAGUACCCUAAUAUUUCCAUCAAAAGCUCACUCUACUUUGAGUGUGAGUCAGUGUGGCUGUGGGCAUUAAAUACAAUAAUAUCUGUAAAAGUGCCUUAUGAACUAGGAAGCCCCGUUCAGUGAGCAUCUAUUCAGCAUCUACCGUGGGCAGAGAAGCUCUGCAGAUAUAAAGCUGAAGAGACACAGUCCCUGUCCUCAAGGAGCUCAUAGUCCAGGGGUGGCAGACAGCGGGUUAGAAUGCACUGCAGUCUGUAGAUAGAAGACACCAAGAACUUGCUGAUGACUGAGGGACCAUCUUAACACAAGAUCCCUGCACCUCCGUGCUACUCAUCACUUUAUGCAAUUAGAUGACGCCAGAUCCACCAUCCUAUGUGCGUCUAGAUAGGGAAAUGAAAGAUAUGGACGCAGAAUUACCCAUGUGCAAAUUAGGGAAAUGUCUUCUAGACAGACAAAUUGGAAAACAUGGCCCUUGUGCAAAAACCAAUCAGAAAAGGGCCUUCCUUUUGGUGGGCCAGUUCAACCCAGGGUAAGAGGGUGGGGUUGGGGCCACCUCUUACAUUAGAGGGGGUUACCUUAUCAGGCACAGCCUGAAACAGUAAACGUGGUGGCCUGGCAGUGGUAGGUUUUUGCGGUUCCUGCCUUUGAAGAUUACAAUUUUCUAAAGAAAACCAAAAAAGCAGAACAAAACCACAGCAGAAUAUAACAUAUGCACAUAUGUGGAUGCAAUUUAGGGGAAGGAUUUAAUUUUGCGAACUUGGUCUGUGGAAGCACUUUGCAUAAACUGGCAAAGACACUUGCCAGCUCUACCAUGUGAGCUUUAACAGAGUCUGAACAUGGAAAGCACUCUGAGCAGUUAGAGCAGAGAUGAGUUUAGUACAAGCUUGGUCACCCAGGUGGUGGUGCUAGGAAGUCAAACAGGGCAUGGUGAGCCAACUCAGAUGGCCCUUCCAAUGGAGGGAAGAUUAUGGCCUUGCUAGGCAGGAGUAACAGAGGGAAGAGUUAGUGUUGCUGGAGCCCAGAGCCAGGGCUGUGCUAUGGAGAAUGAACUGAAGCCACAGUAGGCUUGGGUGUUACAGGCUGGCACAGCAGAGAGAGAGAGUGCCAUGGCUACGGGUGUUGUUGAAGGUAGAGAAAGAUGGAGAGAAAGGACCUGGGGUCUUCUUUUCUUUGUUUCUUUAUUGUCUCUCCAGUACUGCCCCUGGCUGAUGGCAGAUCCCCCAACUCCAGGGAAAUGUAGCUUUGGAGCUGAGCCCCCCAGUACACAGAGCAGGCCAGGGGGAGAUGGGGGAAGAGUCCUCAGGGCUAACAGGCUCAGAACUGCUGCAACAACAGAGAAGAUACGACUGAGCUGAUCACCAAGAGUGAUAUGAAGGGUUUUUUUUUUUUUUUUGGGGAAAGAUUUAUUUAUUUAUUUGAAAGAUGGAGUACAGAGGGGCAGAGGCAGAGAGAGGGAGAGAGAGAGAGAGAGAGAGAGUCUUCCAUCCACUGGUUCACUCCCCAGAUGGCCACAAUGGCUGAAGCUGUGCCGAUCUGAAGCCAGGAGCCAGGAGUUUGUUCUGGAUUUCCCAUACAAGUACAGAAGCCCAAGGACUUGGGCCAUCUUCCACUGCCUUCCCAGGCCAUAGCAGAGAGCUGGAUCAGAAGAGGGGCAGCUGGGACUCAAACCAAUGCCCAUAUGGGAUGCUGGCAUUGCAGGUGGUGGCUUUACCCACUACAACACAGCACUGGCCCCAGGAAUUGUUCUUCCUAUAUAAAGAAGGUUUGUAAAACUCAACACAGACAGAACAUUUCUGUCAUCACAGAGCAUUCCAUGGCAGAGCUCUGUCUCACAGGAUGCUUGCAUGAGAGAGAACAAGUACUCGAAGAAAGACAUUAUAGUCCCAACUAAUAGAAUUGCUGGGUCAGUGAUCUUGGCACAGGCUACCAGGCCCACAGCUGGAGUAACUGGGUUUCAUCUCAGGAUCCAGGAGAAUUCAAGGCCAGAGGGGCUGACACCAGGUGGGUGGCAGCUAAGGAUAAGUGUUCUGGAAUCAGAAUGCAUGCGUUCAAAUUCCAGCUCCUCCCAUUUCUGGCUUUUUGCUCACAAACUGCUUAACCCCUCUGUGACUUAAUUCCAUUAUGUGUAGAAAUAUGAGGGACUGGAUCUGCUUUACAUGUGAAGUUGUGAGGAUUGAAUGAAUUAAUGUUUGCACAGACCUCAGAACUCACAUCAUAUGCAAAUACACUAAGGGAAGAUUGGUAUGGUGUGCAAACAGCAACAGCGUUUAAUUGGCAGUGAGGGAAUAAACGUACAAUCACCUGCGAGUGUGAGGUGCUCCACACAGAGAAAUAUCCAGUGACUGGGCCAAAGAAUGGCCCAUAACCCAGAGGAAAAAAAGAAAAAACUGCAAAUGGUUCCUGUAACUGUGGGAGAGUGGGAAAGGUCCAUUCUGUCUGCGGUGGAAGAGAGCACACCAGAGCGGUAUGUCCGCGAGCUCUCCGGCGGAGAGCGAAAACCCGAGCAGCGCCUCUUGGAAGACAAGGAUCUGCAGGAAUGUCUGAAAAUAUGAAAACUAGUUGCUUUUCUUGCACCAGGAAAGAGAAUGGGAAAAAAUAGCAUUCUACUAAAGAUGAUGCAGCAUGGUGGCCCUCGCUAAAUGCCAACACUGUACUCUAGGACUUCCCGGUCUCCAGAACUGCUGUUUUCAACAUGGCGGAAAUGGUGUCUCGUCAUCCAGGUCUGCACGAGGCUGUGUGCAACCUGCUGUUCCAGGGACAAAGCACCCCAGGAAAAUCUCCAAGAGUUGGAGUGGUGAAUCCUGGUGUUGCCAAUAAUAGACAUGUGACAUAGUUGAACGUUUCAUCAUCUUCAAUAAAUCAUCAGGAUGGGGUUGCACCAUCAGGAACCUGAAUCAAGAGCUGGACUAGAUGCUGAAUCCAGGUACUUGGAUAUGGAACAUGGGCAUCUUAACCAGUGUCUCAGCUGGUAGGAUAAACACCCACCAUGGUAUUGCCAGUUUCAUUCCAUCGCAUUGCUGAAUUUCAUGCCACCGUGUGGAUGGAUAUACCACAGUUUGUCCACUACAUCUUCCUGGAUAAUUGAACAGUUUCCAGUCUGGGGCUUUGCAGAGAGAGAGCUGCUGUGAACUUCACACAUAAGUCUUUGUGUGGAAGUUUACUUUGUUCCUCUUGGGUAAAUAAUGAGAAUUCAAAUGAUUGGAUCAUACAGCACAUGCUUAUUUUUAUACAGCACAUGCUUAUUUUUAAGAAGCUACCAAACUGUUUGCUAAACAAGUGGGUGGUUUAUUAUUCAUUAUUGUUUGUUUAUUCAUUAACACUACCCCAUCCAUGUUGGUCAUUUUAACAUGUGAAGUGCUACCUCAUUAUGGUUUUAAUUUGCAUUUUUCCUCAUGGCUAAUAAUGUUCCAAAUCUUCUCGUAUGCUUUUAUCGUCAUCCAGGAAAGUUUCCUUUGACUGCUAUAAUGAUUUAACACAGGGCUGGGUAUUUCACACAGUAAUUAAGACUCCGCUUAGGAUGCCUGCAUCCUGUAUCCGAGUCCCUGGGUUUGAGUCUUGGCUUUGCUCCUGAUUCCAGCUUCCUGCUAUUGCACGCCUAGGAGACGUGAUGGCUCAAGGAGCUGUAUCCCUGCCACUUACAUGGGCAUCUGGAUUGAACGCUGGGAUCCUGGUCUCUACCGACCCAGCCCUGUGUGUGUAAGGCAUUUGUGGAGUGAACCAGCAGACGGGAGCUCUUUCUCUUUGUGUUUUCUUUCUCUCCCUCUCUCUGCUCCUCAAAUAAAUUAAAGAAAUAAAAUAAUUAACCAACAUAAACAUAUGGACUUAAAGUAAAAGUUCUGUCAGAGUUCUGGCAGCCAGAUGUCAGAUGUCAGAAAUGAGCUUCACUGGGAGGGAAGUGUCCGCAGGGCUGAGCGCCCUCCAGGGGCUGUGGGAAGAACUGAGUCCCUCGAAUUCCUUGGAUUAAGGUCCUCUCUCCAUCUUCAGUUUGUGACUGCACAUCUGUCCUCUCUCUCUUGCUUUGGUCACAUGGCCUUCCUCCCUUUUACGAUUGAAGCUUCCUCUGCCUUAUUUAAUUUUUUUUUUUACUAUUUUUUUCAUUUAUUUGAAAGAGUGUGUGUGAGGGAUGGGAGGAGAGAGAGAGAGAAAGAGAGAGAGAAAAUCUUCUGUCUGCUGGUUUACUUCCCAAAUGCCCACAACAGACAGAGCUGGGCCAGACUGAAACCAGGAGCAUGGAGAUCUCUCUGGGUCCCCCUGGUGGGUGAUAGGGACCCGAGGACUUGCGCCAUCCCCUGCUGCCUCCCAGGAUGCACAUGAGCAGGACACCAGAACUGGGGGCAUGGCUGAGGCUUGAACAGGCACUCCAGCAUAGGAUGUGGGUGCUGACGUAUCACCUUAACCCCUGCCAAAGGCUCUGUUCUCUGCCUGCCUCUUUAAGGAACAUGUGAUUGUACCUAAGGCCCACCUGGACUAAUCUAGGCUGAUCCCACUGUAAAAAUAUCCUUAAGUUAAUCAACAUGUGAAGUCUUUUGCCACAUAAGGUAUAUGCUCUGGUUCUGGAGAUGAAAAUGUACAUGAAAGUUGAGAAGCCAUUCUGCCUGUAACACCAUUUGUUAUUUUUUUUGGGGGGGGGGCAAGGAUAUAUUCAAAUCUGUGUCUCAUUGUUCCUCCCUGCCCCCUUCCCUCAGUUGAGUUUUAUUCUUUUAAUUCAACUUUGAGAGCUCUCUAUAUAUUCUGAAAUAAAAUUCCUUUAUGAGACACAUACUCUGCAACAA